UUUAGCAGUGGAAUUGAGCAUGCAUCAUUUGUGACAAGCUAUCAAAUCCUUAAAAAAGCAUGGAAUGUUAUCUCAUCUAAUUAUCAAGACAUAGUUACAAAUGAUGGUGUUGGAUUGUGUUGGAAAGUUUACAAAGAACAAAAUCCUGAUUUGACUAUUAUAGCCUUUGAAGCUACCAAAGAUUCUUCCAAUCUUCAAAGUGAUUUGAUUUCAUCUUCUGAUCUUAAUAAGAAGAAGAAUUUUCAUCAGUUUGACUUUUUAUGCUCUAAGAAGAACCCUUCUUUCUCUCUGAAUAGCACUGCUUUUUCACUGUUUUAUGAUAAUAUUCAGAAGCUUGAUGAGCUGAAAUCUAAGGUAUUUUCACUUUUUUGUUUUUGAUUGUUUUUUUGAGCUUCUGAUUCUAAUUGAAUUUUGAUCUGAAUUAAAAAAAAAAAUAGUUAGUUUCUUGCAAAUUUAGUGAUUGAUGUGUACAAUGGUUAAGGAUUCAUGGUUAAUAACACUCUUUUAAAUUGAGUUGUUUAACUUUCCAAUUAGUCUUAAAUCUUAAUCAUCAAAAUAUUAAAUUUCUUAAGACACAAAAAGCGAUGAGUAAAGGGAGUUAGAUUCUAUGGAGGGCAAUCUUAACACUUUAGAGGUCAUGUUCUAAUUUUAAAAAUUGGACCCCUAAUUAAAGGAAAGUGUUGUAGGAUCCUAGAAAUUAUUUGAAGAUAAUGAAGCACCAAAAACUCAAAAUUUGGACCUCAAAAUAUCGAGGUUCUGUGUUGUUGGUCUUUUUGCACACCAUCAUAACCGGCUCUGAUUCUAUGUAGCCGGGAUACCCUCAAUUCACGCACUCAGUACGUCGGUGGUCCUUUCAUCUUUGGUCCGAAAGCACAGACUAAAGGGAUUUAGAUUCUAGGUAGUCCUUUAAUGGUUUGUCUGAUCUUAAUCCAAUGGUUACCAAUACACUAACUGUGUGAGUGCAAGGGUAUCCCAACUACAACGAAUCCAUUUCAUUUGUUAUGCAUAUGAGUAAUAAUGGUGGUAUUUGUAUGUUGCUGUUUUCAUUUUUCAAAUCUGGUUCCUUUUGGAGAAACAAGUGAAUUGAAAUUUGCAUAUUUAUAUGCCUUAAAAUAGUGUUUAAUCCAAUGAUUAACUUGUGUAAGCUUAUUUAUUGAUGACAUAAACUGGAGAGAGCUUAUAUGGGAACACCUUACGACAUGUCCAUAAGUUGUUUUCAACUUAUUUCCAUAAUCUUUCCAAGACAGCUUAGGAAAACAACUUAUAUCUUAUAUGUAAAAAUUGACUUUAUUUUAUCUUUUAUUGUUAAAAGUGCUGAAUUAAGUUGUUUAUCCAAACACAGUCAUCUUGUAAUAAUUAUAUUGACUAAAUUUUUUCUUAAAGAUAUUGUACUCAUAUAUAUGCAUAUUACUAGCUUCUAGGCAUAUAUUGUUCUUCAUAUCUAAAUUCUAACGCAACAAUCUUAAUGCAGAUUUUAGGUGCAGAUCCAGUAACUCCAUUGAUUGUUACCGGAAGAGGCCUCGGAGGAUCAAUAGCUUCACUCUUCACAAUAUCACUAUUAGACAACAUUGGUUCAACAAAGAAGCGUCCACUAUGCAUCACAUUUGGUUCACCUCUUGUUGGUGACAAGAAAUUGCAACAAGCCAUAUCACGUAGUUCUAAUUGGAAUUCUUGCUUUAUUCACGUUGUUUCUCGCAAUGAUCCUCUUCCAAGGCUAUUCGUCACAAACUACAUGCCUUUGGGAACAUUUCUCUUUUGUUCUGAUUCGGAUUCUACUUGUUUUGAGAAUCCUGAUUCUAAUUUGGAAAUUCUCAUUACAUUAAGCAAAGUUCAUGGUCAAAAUCAAGGAUUUGAUUCAGCUGAGUAUGGAAAUAUCGUCGAAAAACUCAGACGUAAAGCAAUUUUCAAGGAUUCUUUUCUGCUGGCCGGAGACAGGAACGAUUCAGAUUCACUUGCAGUUGGUAUCAGUUUGCAGUUGCAACAGACACUAAGGUUGACACCACAAUUGCUGGUAUGUGAAUAUAUUUUAUCUUUUUCUUGAAUAAUAGAUGUUGAAAAUCAUGGAAUCAUAGGGAUGAAGAUCAUAGUUGUAAGCAAGAUAGAGAGCAUAUGUGUAUUUAUGAGAAGAAUACUCGUAGAAAUUCAUAUUGAAUGAGUAUAGAUUGAAUAAAAGAUGAGAAAUGAGUAGAUGUAGGGUCUUAUUUAUAAACCUCAGUUAUACUAACUAAUGUGGUUAACUAACUGAGUACAUGUAAUCAUCCUACUACUAUUGGUAAACUCAGAUAUUUCUUGACCUCAUUUCUAAAUUUUGACUUUGGAUGCAGCAAGAGCAUGAUAUUAAUAUCAAUGUAUUGGAAACAAAAAUUAAAAAACUAGAAGACUUCAUUCAAAAGAAGACAUCAUUUGAUCCAUCCAAGAAAUUGAAUGAAAUGAAGCGACAUAUGGCGCAACUUGAAUGGUACAAAAUGAAAACAAAAAAUCUUGACAUAGGGUACUAUGACAGCUACAAAAACAAGAACGCACAGUUUGAUCAUGAUGUUGUUGUAUUUCAUAAAAUACUCACAAAUUAUUGGGAAAAGAUGGUUGAAGAAGCUGAACUGAAACCUCAAAGAGAAGGCGCUGCAUUUCGUAAUCGCUGGCUCUUCGGUGGAACUACAUAUAGAAGAAUGGUUGAACCACUAGCUAUUGCUCAGUACUAUAGAGAUGGUGGUAAAGAUUAUGUCAAUAAACAUAGAUCCAAACACUUCAAAACUUUGGAGGAAUGGUUAGAGGAAGACUCGACAAAAACUAAAAAUGAAUUAAACAGUACAAGUAAGAAGAAAGUGGAAGUGAUUUUGACUAUAGAUUCUUGCUUUUGGGCACAUGUUGAAGAGGCUAUACUUGCAUGCAAAGAGUUGAAAGAAGUGAAAGACAAAGAAGAGGUAUUGAACAAAUUGGUUGAAUUUGAAGACUAUGUUUAUGGUUUGCUUAAGGAUUAUGCUGUGUCCCCUGAGAUUUUCUUGAGGCAAAGUAGCUAUAUGAGUUGGUGGAAGGAUUAUAAAGCUAUUAAGGGAUCUUCAUACACUUCAAAACUUGCUAAUUUCAUGAAUGAUGCUGGAAAGAUUAAGCUUUAUGGUUUGGGAGCUUAUGAUUUUCCUUGAAGUAUGUUUGCUGCAUAAUAAAAGUGAGUCUUAUAUGUUGUAAUAAAUCAGGAUUUGAUCACAUUCUUAUGCUCUUAUGAACCUUAUUGAUUAAUAAUGGAAGCUUUUUAUCUUUGUUUUUCCANUGAUGAGCUGAAAUCUAAGGUAUUUUCACUUUUUUGUUUUUGAUUGUUUUUUUGAGCUUCUGAUUCUAAUUGAAUUUUGAUCUGAAUUAAAAAAAGUUGUUAGUUUCUUGCAAAUUUAGCGAUUGGUGUGUGAGAUUCUAUGGAGGACUAUCUUAACCAUAGUCACAAAAUUCGCUGGACCCCUGAACCGCAAAUUGGUUCUCCCGUACGGCCGGUUCGGCAGAAUUCAUCAACAAUUCGCAUGAAUCAAGGAACCCAGCGAACCAUUGUUUAAUGAACAAAAACACAGCCUUGAUAGCUAAAAAGAUAAUAAUAAAUAAAUAUUUAAACUAAUUGACAGUGAGUGCAUGUAGAAGUGUCAAAUGGGUUGGCCUGACCAGCCCAGCACGAGUGGGCCAACUACAUAAAUGAGCCACCCCGACCCAAUCAUUUAUAAUUGAAUCCUGCUCUUUAUCAAAAAGGUUUUGCUCGUUUCCAAGUGAAAUUAUCAAAAUACCCCUACGCAUGUUAACUUACGCUAGUAUUUUAGCUGGUGGGAACAAGUGUUAGUUUGGGUAGUAGGAUUGAUUUGGAUCAUGGUCCCCCCUUACCGUCAUUGUACCGACAAUUUUAAUUACUUUUAUAUUCAUGUCACAUCAUCUCUAAGAAAAAGCAGCCUAAUUUACUAUUUUAUUCUCAGUCAUGUAUUGUCACAUGAGAAAUGAUAUUUGUACAAUCAAUUUGUGACAAUUUUCUCUCUCAUACUUACAUUAUCCUUUUAUUCUCUCUCUUCCUUUUUCUCUCUCCAAUGUUUUUAACCAAUGAAAAGAGAAAGAAAAUAAGUUGUCUCAAAUGAUUGUUAAAAUAUCACUACUCUCGUCACAUAUGCAUGUUUCUUCUUCCAAAUUCGUGUCGCAAGCUAGGAUGUCGACACCACUCUCCACACGUGAUUUCCCUGAGCCACGAGAAAAGCAUUAUUAAUUUGUUGUUUGUUAAUGAGUUUGAUGAGUCAAGUUCAUCAUAAAGUUUCUUCUACAACUUCUACAUAUGAAUUUCAUUAGAUUCCAAUAUUCUUAAUUCAAGCUAUCAUAGUGGAUGGUGCGUUUGUUGUUGGGAGAAAUACCUGAAUGCAUUGUCUUUUUGGAAAAAGGAAUGGAGAACACGCUAAGGCCUUACUUUGAGCUGACAAAUGCACUAUGAAAAUGCACUAUCAUGGUAUUCUUCUGACAAUUGCACAAUUAUGUUUUUGCUAAAAUAAGAUUGGAUGGUCAUAAAAAUGUAAAUAAUUUUUACAUUAACAUUGAAUAUUAAUAAAACUUCCUUUGAUUGAAUUGAAUUUAUAAUUUAUAAACUUUAGAAUUUUAAGACUUUGAGGUAAAUUCAUUCAUUUUUAUUAAGUUUAGUUAUUUAACUAUUUUUUAUUAAUAAAUUUUAGGCUUAAUAGCAGUUUUGAUCCUCUAAGUAUCAUAAAGUUGCGAUUUUGGCCCCUAAUAAAGUAAAAUACAGUUCAGCCCCCUAAGUACUGUCCCUUUUGCAAUUGUGCCCCCGGACUAAUUUUGACCAAGUCAAUGUUGAUCUGGACGACGUGUGUAAUUUUUUUUAAUUAUUAAAAAAAAUUAUUUUUUUACACGCAUGGCGUCCACGUUAGCAUUGUCUUGGUCAAAAUUGGCAUGGGCACAAAACUGCAAAAGGGACAGUACUUAGGGGGCUGGAUUGUAUUUUAUUUUGUUAGGGUGUCAAAAUCGCAACUUCCUGAUACUCAGGGGGCCAAAACUGCUAUUAAGCAUAAAUUUUAAAUUAGUUGAUAAUUUUUUCAAAAAAUAGUGUUUUUACCAAAAAAUAAUCAAAUAAAAAUAUUGAUAAUGGGCCAGCCCGACCCCAUUUUUAUGUGGGACAAAUGGGCUUGGGCCAAAAAAACCAAGUGCAUUUUGGACCAUUCUUUUUGGCUCGGCCCAAAAUAUGGGCUAAUGGGCCGGCUUGGCUUUACAGCUCUAGGUGCAUGGUCCUCACCUUGGAAAAGCAAGGUCUCACUGGUCCCACCAAUUCAAUGUUAUCCCAAUGCACAUCAAAGGAUAGUAGUACAAGGCAUAUUUAUAUUGAAGUUUCCCUAGAGUAAGCUCAAUUUUCCAUGUGGGACUAGCAUGUAUAUAUAUUUGACAAACAACACUUGCUAUAUCUCUGUUAGCUAAUCUCUUUUCCCAUGAGUAAAGAUAUUUAAACAAUUUUUUUGCUACAACUUUUGUGACAACCUUGAUGUGCUCUCUUUUCAUUGGUCAAAAACAAUGGAGAGAGAAAAAGGAAGAGAGAGAAUAAGAAGAUAAUGCGAGUAUGAGAGAUAAAGUUGUACAAAAAUGGUUGUACAAAUAUCAUUUCUCUUUUCUCACCUGGGCUACUAUUUUUUACUCCUAGCGUACCAAUUAUUAUAUUUGAACGUACCAAUUAUGUAUACCCCUUACAUACCUGAUUUUUUGAAAGUUGUGAACCGCGUACCUGAACCCAUGUCACAUACCAAAUCGAAUUACGAAUUGUGUCACUUUGAUUCUAUCAUUAAAUGAGUCUCACUAUCAUUAAUUAUUUUUAAAAAAAAUUGUGUCUUUGUCUCUUCAAAUAGAAGAAAUGGAAAAGAGAUUAAAUGAAGAAGAUUUUAACUCGAUCUUAACACUCGAGAGGUCAUGUUCUAAUUUUAAAAAGUUGACCAUAAUAAAAGGAAAGUGUUGUUGGACCCUAGAAAUUAAUUGAAGAUAUUAUAUAUUUACCAAAUGAAGCACCAAAAACUCAAAAUUUGGACCUCAAAAUAUCGAGGUCAUGUGUUGUUAGUCUUCUUGCACACCAUCAUAAUCAGCUCUGAUUAUAUGUAGUUGGGAUACCCUCAAUUCAGACAUUCAGUAUGUCGGUGGUCCUUUUAUCUUUGGUCCGAAAGCACAUACUAAAGCGAUUUAGACAAGGGCGGAGGGACUGGGGUGGCCAAGGGAGGCCAUGGUCCCCCAAUUUUCUUAUAAAUAAUUUUAUACUACUAAUAUAUUGCUAUUUAACUAUAAAUGUCAAUGUGGUUCUCCAUCAUUAGCACUUUCAUUUGAAGUCUUAAGUCUUAUAUUAUAUGAACAUUAAGCCUUUGUCCUUUAUAACUAAAAAAGAGUCAUUUAACUAUGUCAAGUAUAAAAGCAACAAUAGAAUAAAAUAUAAAAAGUUACUCUUUUCACUUUCAUUUUUUCUCCCAGCUAUCCGAAAAUACCAAAAUACUUUCGACAUAGUUAACUAUCAUUCAAGAAACUUUUAAAAUCAAUUAAAUCGAUUUAAAAAGUAAUUAACCUAUCUGAAAAGUGUCGAACGAUAUUUCAAUAUGCCGGAGAGGCGAACGAAAGUUAAAGUCGCUCGACCAACGAUAGUUGCGAAAAUGAGAAAUUUUGAAAGUGACAAGAGUAAAAAAGGGCAACCCGGUGCACUAAAGCUCCCGAAUAUAUAGGGUCCGGGAAGGGGUCCCACCAUUAUUGGUGUAUUGUACGCAACCUUAUCCUGUAUUUUACACAAGAGGUUGUUUCCAGGACUUGAACCCGUGACCUUUCAGUCACAUAACAACAACUUUACUAGUUGCGCAAGGUUACAAGAGUAACUUUCAUAAAAUAAAUCAAGUAAGAAGUAAAUCUAAUUUUUCUAUCUUCUUCCAAUAUUAACUUCAAAUGUAGCUUAAAUUUCUCAAUAUGCAGUACAUUUGAACUUUUGUUGUUUAACCAGAGUAUACAUUUUAAACUUGGUCCCCCCAUUGUUUAAUUUCUGGCUCCGCCCCUGGAUUUAGAUUCUAUGUAGUCGUUUAAUGGUUUGUCUGAUAUUAAUCCAAUGGUCACCAAUACCCUAACUGUGUGAAUGCAAGGAUAUCCCAACUGCAACGGAUCCAUUUCAUUUGUUGUGCAUAGGAGUAAUAAUGAUGAUAUUAUUUUUUUUUAGAGAAAUAAUGAUGAUAUUUGUGUGUUGCUGUUUUCAUUUUUCAAAUCUAGUUCCUUUUCGAGAAACAAGUGAUUCGGAAUUUGCAUAUUUAUGCCUUAAAACAGUGUUUAACAUAAAAAUAUGAAAAGGGCAUACUUUGAAUUCUGUAGAGACUAACUUGUGUAAGCUUAUUUACCGGUGACAUAAGCCCUUGUAAGACUGUUUGAGAGAGCUUAUGUGGAAGCACCUUAUGAUAUGUCCAUAAGUUGUUUUCAGCUUAUUUCCAUAAUCUCUAUUUUAUCUUUUAUUGUUAAAAGUGUUUGAUUAUGUUGUUUAUCCAAACACAGUCAUCUUGUAACAAUAAUGGACAUCUUAUGCACAUUCCUAGCUUCUAGGCAUAUAUUGUUCUUCAUACCUGAAUCCUUAUGCAACAAUCUUAAUGCAGAUUUUAGGUGCAUAUCCAGGAACUCCAUUAAUUGUUACUGGAAAAGGCCUCGGAGGAUCAAUAGCUUCACUCUUCACAAUAUCACUAUUAGACAACAUUGGUUCAACAAAGAAUCGACCACUAUGCAUCACAUUUGGUUCACCUCUUGUUGGUGACAGGAAGUUGCAACGAGCCAUAUCACGUAGUUCGAAUUGGAAUUCUUGCUUUAUUAAUGUUGUUUUUUGCAAUGAUCCACAUCCGAGGCUAUUCAUCACAAACUACAUGCCUUUUGGAACAUUUCUCUUUUGUUCUGAUUCAGGUUCUACUUGUUUUGAGAAUCCCGAAUCAAAUUUGGAAAUAAUAGUGACAUUAAGCAAAAUGCAUGGUCAAAAUCAAGGAUUCAAAUUAGAUGAGUACGGAAGUAUAGUCGAAAAUCUCAGACGUAGAGCAUUUUUUAAGGAUGUUUCUACGCCGGCUGGAGACAGGACUCAUUCAGAUAAACUUGUGAUUGGUAUCAGUUUGCAGUUGCAAGCACUAGGAUUGACACCAAACAUUCUGGUAUGUGAAUAUCUUUUAUCUUUUAGAUCAACUUUUCGUAGUUUAUUGGAGCUUGUUAAUUAAGACCCUGUGAGUUAUUUCUAUAACAAGAGGUAAAAGUAAGAAUGUCAAACUGUUUUCGUGUAAGUUAUGAGAUGUCUUCAUAAACUAUCCUGGAGAGCUUAUGAAAACAAGUGAAAAAUAGCUUAGGAACAUGUCAAGUUUUUAUGUCAGUAAAUAAGUUAAAAUAAAUUAAUCCAAGCAGAAUUUAAAUUGGUUUACGAUUCGUUGCUUAAGUCCUAAUAAGAUUAUGAAUGCUUCUUGACCUCAUUUCUAAAAUUUACUUUGGAUGCAGCAAGAGCUUGACAUUGAUGUCAAUGCUCUAGAAACAAAGAUAAAAAGACUAGAACAAUUUUUAAUCUUUCAAAAGAAGACAUCAUUUGAUCCAUCCAAGAAACUGAAUGAAAUGAGGCGACAUAUGGCGCAACUUGAAUGGUACAGAAAGAAAACAAAAAAUCUUGACAUAGGGUACUAUGACAGCUACAAAAACAAGAACGUAUCAGCUGAUUAUGAAGUUGAUUGGUAUUUAAAAAGCAUCAUAUUUUUUUGGGAAAAGAUGGUUGAAGAAGCUGAUCUGAAGCCUCAAAGAGAAGGCGCUGCAUUUCGUACUCGCUGGAUCUUCGGUGGAACUACAUAUAGAAGAAUGGUUGAACCACUAGCUAUUGCUCAAUACUAUAGAGACGGUGGUAAAGAUUAUAUCAAUAAACAAAGAUCCAAACACUUCAAAGCUUUGGAGGAAUGGUUAGAGGAAGGCCAGACAAAAGCUAAAAUUGAAUCAAAUCGUAUAAAUAGGAAGAAUGUGGAAGUGAUUUUGACUAUAGAUUCUUGCUUUUGGGCACAUGUUGAAGAGGCUAUACUUGCAUGCAAAGAGUUGAAGGUUGUGAAAUACAAAGAAGAGGUAUUGAAUAAAUUGGUUGAAUUUGAAAACUAUGUUUAUGGUUUGCUUAAGGAUUAUGUUGUGUCUCCUGAGAUUUUCUUGAGGCAAAGUAGCUAUAUGAGUUGGUGGAAUAAUUAUAAAGUUGUUAAGGGAUCUUCAUACACUUCAAAACUUGCUAAUUUCAUGAAUGAUGCUGGAAACAUUAAGCUGUAUGGUUUGGGAGGUUAUGACUUUCCUUGAAGUAUGUUUGUUGCAUAAUAAAACUGAGUCUUAUAUGUUGUAAUAAAUCAGGAUUUGAUCACAUUCUUAUGCUCUUAUGAACCUUAUUGAUUAAUAAUGGAAGCUUUUUAUCUUUGUUUUUCCAUUGCAAAUCAAUCCUCUUUCUUAGAGAAUUUGUCGUUCAGGUAAAUAAAUUUCUGUGCUAUUUUUUUGGUGUUAACUCUCCGACUCCUAGGGACCUAGUAAUUCGGAGUUCAAUCAAAAAAUUGUUCAAGCCAGGAAUCAAAUUUGAGUUCUCCCGAAGAAUUCAUCAUUAGAAAAACUCAUUAACCACUUGAGUUUAAUCACUUGAUUAUUCCUGUGCUAUUUAAACAUAACUUACGAAGCAUUUGCACUAACAUUUCUAGUAGGAACCAAAAAGAUAUAGUAACAAAUUGGACUCAAAAUUUCAAUAAAUUGUAAAUUAGCCUAAAAAAUUAAAAUAAAAUAAAAAAAUACAAUUUGGAACCUCAAUAUUCUCAAACAUUUUGGGUGUUUGCAAGCAACAUGCUCAUAAUUUUCUUCCGGCUAUAUAUAUAUAUAUUGAUGGUUAGGCACUGACAUAUGCUAUAUUCUGGCCACUUGAAGUAAAUCACUGCCUAACAAUGGAUCAUUGAAAUUGCAGUAAUCCAUAAGUAAAUGUGCAUUUGUUUCCACAUGAAAAUAAGCAUAUAGGAACAAUAUGGAUGCAAAAUAUGAAUGUUUUCACACGAGAUUCAGCCCACUUUAUCUCUUGUUCCUUUUUCUAUACGGCCUAUAAUAUUUUGAAAAGAAAAAUUAAAAUUGUCUGAAAAAUUUCAUGUCCACAAAUAUAUAGGUGGAAGAAUUCUUGGCCAGAUUAUACUUACCACAUGACCAAACAUUGAAUUACAAGAGCCUCUUCCCUGAAAAUGGGAGGGGUUAACACCCAACAAAUAUCCAUGCAUUAUCAGAUGCAGGUUGAAUUGUUUUUUCUAAAGGUAAAUAGAUAUAUACAAACCUGAACGGGAAAAAACACUCUCCGGAAUAGAACAGAAUACAAAGAGAAAAGCUACAUACAAGUCUGUGCCCUACAGGAACUCGGGGGACAAAACCAAAAACAGUGAAAAGUCACACCAAAAAGAAAAACACCGCACACAGGCCACUCCCGACACACCAAAAACAACCCCACCACAGAUGCGGGUGGAAUUGUGAUAGAGAACUAUUGAGUCUUCAUCUAAUUUUCUCAUUCAUACGGAUUGGUGAAUCGAAUAUCCUCCAUACUACUUUUCAGCUUGAAUACGUGAAUUCCACUUUCUAUAACCAAUGCUUCCUCUAUGCAACCCUCACACUUAAACGUAAUCUCUGCAUGGAUCCAUUCAGCUAUUAAAAGUGCUUCGCCUAGUACAGAUUCGAGUUUCAUCUCUUGCAGUCGUAGAUCAUAUAGAUAUGUAUGAUCUGGUUGUAUCACGAGAUUGAGAUUGAUACUGUCGAUGUCAAACUCAAUAUCAUAUUUAUAGAUAUUGGUUCUCAGAUAGGCUGUUAAUGAAGGAAAAUCACUGUUGAGAUGCUUGUUAUCCAUUGAUUUACUAGCAACGAAGAGAGCUAUGGAAGGGAACCUGUCACGAAACCAGAAAGAAAUUGAUGGUCCCUUGCUUUGUUGAUCAAACCACUCUGGAAUCCUAGCACUUCCUGCCAAACUAAACUCGGUGCCUCCAUCUUCAUGCACAUCCUGUUAUUUGUAAAUAACUCACAAGUUUAGCAAGUAAAAUCAUUAUGAAAUAUCAAAUAUGAAGUCAGAUAGUUAUAUACAAAACCUGAGUAAGUAGCAUGCUUCUACAUGAGGAAGUCAAUGAGUUGCAGUGUAAUGCAGACAAGCAUUUUAAACUUGGCGGAAUCCCUGUAAUUUCUUGGAGAUACUUGCAAUCAUUCAAACAAAGUCUUUGUAAAAAGUGACACUCUUUGACCCAUUCUGAAAGAAUGGUGAGAUUACUUCCCGAUAGGUCUAAAACUUUCACAUUGACAAACCUUCGAAGAAAAUCGUUGACGGAUUGCAUUGCAUGAGAUGAAGAAAUUGAACAUUUGAAGACACCAUGGAGCUUGGUUUAUCAUUCUCAUGAGCAUUAAUCCAGGACAAUUUAUGAGGCAUUCCACUUCAAACUAUUCGUAGAGUAUGGACCCUCACGAGAUUUAGAAAUGAACAUGGAAAUUGUUCUAUGGAGGUGCCAACCAAUUCAAUGUAUGUUAUAUCUUUCAUAUCUCCAAAUAUUUCUGGAAAACUCUUGAGAUUAUUACAAUAUGAAAGUGUUGUGAAUUCCGGUCUCAAAGUCACACCAAUACGAACUAUGAUGUGUGGAGCAAAGGAAAGUAGUAACCACUAACAAAGUGUGUGCAAGCAAUAAUCAACAAUAACAGCACCUAGAUCUAAUCUAGGAAUCAAAGUGAAAAAAAACAUAAAACACAAGCACAAGAUAAAAGGGAGAGAAGAGAUAAACAAAUACACCAAGAGAUUGUUCACCCAGUUCGGUCCAAACUUGACCUACUCUGGAGGAGAGAUUGAACUCUCCAAUCCACUAUCAAUGAGUUCUUACAAAGAGAUACAAAGGGUUACAAGAAAUUAGCUUUGACAAGUUCACAAAGAACAACCCUAAUUUCUACCAUUUUUCCCAAUCUCACCAAUGAACAAGACACUCAAUGAUUUUCACUCACCAAGGUGUUUACAAUGUUUCCCAACCCAAGAGAAACUCUAAUCAAAGACCCUAAACCCUAGAGUUGCUCCCUUUGAUUUCCCAAGUUUCUCUCUCUUCUAGCUCACCUUCAAAUCUGCACAAGAACACUUAAAUACUAGCCUUCCACUGAUAAAAUCGUGUCACGAUUGGUACGUACGUCACAAGGUACGACCUGUCCUUAUCUUGGAAACUUAACGAGCAAGUUUUACAAUCGUGUCACGAUUUCCCAAGAUCGUGUCACGAUUUGGCACCCUGCAAACCAGCUCACGGCAUCACGAAAUCGUGUCACGAUGCCAAAUUCAUGUCCCGAUUUCUCUGUUCUUCCAGACCACAAAUUUGAAACCAAAUCUCAACAGAAAGUUCAAGUUUUGGAAGAGAUGUCAAAUUUAUGGGUGGAAAACUUGUAAGCUUGAUGCAACCAAUAACGUUCAAGAUUUUGAGUUUAUUCAAGAACCUUUCAGAAUCGUGAAAUGUAAUUAAAUUCCAACAAUCUCGAAUCGAAAGUAUUUCCAAAUUUAAGAGAACAGAACCAGAUUUGUCAACUAUCUGUGUUAAAGAUUGACUGUAGUCUAAAUUUAACUCUCUCAUAUGCUCGAACUUCUGCAACAAAAAGAGAGAAAAGAAAAAAAGUGAGUAAUCUUAAAGUAGUGAGUUGGAACAUAAGAUGAGGAAAAUGAAAUGACUACACCUACUCCGAAUAAGCUAUGAAACUCAAUUGUUGUAAGGCUACUCUCACGUAACCGGCAUAUGGAAAGUUCACAUGGAAGAAAAUCAUAUGGUAAAUUCUGUGAAGGAUAUCUAGGCCAAUCCAGCACUCUUAAACCAUUUGGAAGAUGUUGACAAUCAUUGGAAAACCGGCAAUUUCGGAUUUUUAAGAAGUAUAACAUUUCGUUUAUGUAUAAUUGUUAUGAAAUUUUUAAGUUGGGAAAACGGAGUGUUACAGCUGACGUGGUACUUCACCACAUGUGCAUUGUUUUAAUUAAAAAUAAAUUAAAAAAGCCACAUAUAAAUUAAAGAAUUAAAUAAAUGAAAAAAAUAAAUAAUUAAAAAAAUAAAAAAGAAAGAAAAAAAAGGAAGGAAAUUGUGUUCCAAAAUUUGAUUCUAACUCUUCUUCCUCUCAUCUCUCUAAAACACUGAUUCAAGAACCUGCUCCAUUGACAGAAGCAUGGAAAAAGUUGAAAAAGGAUGAGUAGCUCAAUGCAAGCACGAUAAUGAAAUAAUGUUCUAUUGAACAAAACGAAAGUUUCGUUUUUAUCAAAAGAAAAAGGAGCAUGUCACUUGCACUUUGACAUAUAUAAAGGGCACAAAACAAGACAACUAUAUUAGUUGCAUGUUGCUUAUACAUAACUUGAAUAAGAAUUACACCUACAUUGUUCCCUAACAAUCCAAUAGCUUGAUAUAUUUAUCAUAUAAAUUCUUUUUUUCCUCCCUUACUCUAUCGUUUCAUAUCUAGAUAUUUAUUAUAAACUGCUCAGUUAUUUGUUAAUUUGCAGUUAUAAAUGCAAUAUUAUCAGUGUCAGCAAGAAUAAUGCAAGAAUAUCUAAAUAAUCCUUAAUAGUAUGAAUAUCUAUUCUUGAAUCAAUUCUUGAAUCAAUUAAAAAAUGUUUUAAAACUCCUCAUCCGAGACACAAUAACUCCUACAUGUUACUUUGAAUGCAUGAAUAAGAACUCCUUGUAUUAUCAAUAAGAACUUCCUGAAUGCUACAAUUAGUUUACCUCUGUUUGAAAAAUUAGAAUGCCACUUUACUUCCUUGUGUUUCUGGUUACAAUUCAAAUACGAGAGAGAUUCAAUCGAAGCAAAUCCAUGGUGGUGCUUCAAGAUUUUGGAACAAAGGGUUUUGGGAGAGAGAAUCAGUGUUUUAGAGAGAUGAGAGGAAAAAGAGGGAGAAUCAGAUUUUGGAACACGAUUUCCUUCCUUUUUUUUCUUUCUUUUUUAUUUUUUUUAAUUAUUUGUUGUUUUUUUUUCCAUUUAUUUAUAUGUGGUUUUUUUAUUUAUUUUUAAUUAAAACAAUGCACACGUGGCGGCUUUGAAGUGCCACGUUAGCAUUGACCGAGUCAAAAUUGAUUUAGGGGGCCAAAACUGCCAAAGAUCCAAUACAUAAGGGACUGUUUUGUAUUUUAAUUAGUAAGGGAGUCAAAAUCGCUACUUCUUGAAACAUAGGGGGCCAAAAGUGCAAUUAAGCCUUCAUUUUUAAUAUUAUUUAUUUUUAUGUUCUAAGUACUUGUUGGUAUUAAAAAAAGUACACGCUUGGUUUGACUAUACUUCUUACCUAUUACUACCCUUCUUGGCAAUUGCACUUGCAUUGACAUCAAUUUCCCAAAGACUAUACUUCUUCUUUUGAGUGAAAAAAAAUACCAUACUUAAUUGUCUUCAAUUAACCAGUAUACCAUCCCAAAUUUCCAAUAACUCACUUCCUAGCACCAUGGCACAACUUCCACCUAAACUGUAAGUAAUAAUACAAUAGAAUAUUAUACCAUUAUUACUGAUUUAUAUUGCAUAACACUAUUAUUUUAUUUAUUUUAGUUAAUUUUUGUAUUUGGAUUAUGGUUGCAGAUUUAGCAGUGGAAUUGAGCAUGCAUCAUUUGUGACAAGCUAUCAAAUCCUUAAAAAAGCAUGGAAUGUUAUCUCAUCUAAUUAUCAAGACAUAGUUACAAAUGAUGGUGUUGGAUUGUGUUGGAAAGUUUACAAAGAACAAAAUCCUGAUUUGACUAUUAUAGCCUUUGAAGCUACCAAAGAUUCUUCCAAUCUUCAAAGUGAUUUGAUUUCAUCUUCUGAUCUUAAUAAGAAGAAGAAUUUUCAUCAGUUUGACUUUUUAUGCUCUAAGAAGAACCCUUCUUUCUCUCUGAAUAGCACUGCUUUUUCACUGUUUUAUGAUAAUAUUCAGAAGCUUGAUGAGCUGAAAUCUAAGGUAUUUUCACUUUUUUGUUUUUGAUUGUUUUUUUGAGCUUCUGAUUCUAAUUGAAUUUUGAUCUGAAUUAAAAAAAGUUGUUAGUUUCUUGCAAAUUUAGCGAUUGGUGUGUGAGAUUCUAUGGAGGACUAUCUUAACCAUAGUCACAAAAUUCGCUGGACCCCUGAACCGCAAAUUGGUUCUCCCGUACGGCCGGUUCGGCAGAAUUCAUCAACAAUUCGCAUGAAUCAAGGAACCCAGCGAACCAUUGUUUAAUGAACAAAAACACAGCCUUGAUAGCUAAAAAGAUAAUAAUAAAUAAAUAUUUAAACUAAUUGACAGUGAGUGCAUGUAGAAGUGUCAAAUGGGUUGGCCUGACCAGCCCAGCACGAGUGGGCCAACUACAUAAAUGAGCCACCCCGACCCAAUCAUUUAUAAUUGAAUCCUGCUCUUUAUCAAAAAGGUUUUGCUCGUUUCCAAGUGAAAUUAUCAAAAUACCCCUACGCAUGUUAACUUACGCUAGUAUUUUAGCUGGUGGGAACAAGUGUUAGUUUGGGUAGUAGGAUUGAUUUGGAUCAUGGUCCCCCCUUACCGUCAUUGUACCGACAAUUUUAAUUACUUUUAUAUUCAUGUCACAUCAUCUCUAAGAAAAAGCAGCCUAAUUUACUAUUUUAUUCUCAGUCAUGUAUUGUCACAUGAGAAAUGAUAUUUGUACAAUCAAUUUGUGACAAUUUUCUCUCUCAUACUUACAUUAUCCUUUUAUUCUCUCUCUUCCUUUUUCUCUCUCCAAUGUUUUUAACCAAUGAAAAGAGAAAGAAAAUAAGUUGUCUCAAAUGAUUGUUAAAAUAUCACUACUCUCGUCACAUAUGCAUGUUUCUUCUUCCAAAUUCGUGUCGCAAGCUAGGAUGUCGACACCACUCUCCACACGUGAUUUCCCUGAGCCACGAGAAAAGCAUUAUUAAUUUGUUGUUUGUUAAUGAGUUUGAUGAGUCAAGUUCAUCAUAAAGUUUCUUCUACAACUUCUACAUAUGAAUUUCAUUAGAUUCCAAUAUUCUUAAUUCAAGCUAUCAUAGUGGAUGGUGCGUUUGUUGUUGGGAGAAAUACCUGAAUGCAUUGUCUUUUUGGAAAAAGGAAUGGAGAACACGCUAAGGCCUUACUUUGAGCUGACAAAUGCACUAUGAAAAUGCACUAUCAUGGUAUUCUUCUGACAAUUGCACAAUUAUGUUUUUGCUAAAAUAAGAUUGGAUGGUCAUAAAAAUGUAAAUAAUUUUUACAUUAACAUUGAAUAUUAAUAAAACUUCCUUUGAUUGAAUUGAAUUUAUAAUUUAUAAACUUUAGAAUUUUAAGACUUUGAGGUAAAUUCAUUCAUUUUUAUUAAGUUUAGUUAUUUAACUAUUUUUUAUUAAUAAAUUUUAGGCUUAAUAGCAGUUUUGAUCCUCUAAGUAUCAUAAAGUUGCGAUUUUGGCCCCUAAUAAAGUAAAAUACAGUUCAGCCCCCUAAGUACUGUCCCUUUUGCAAUUGUGCCCCCGGACUAAUUUUGACCAAGUCAAUGUUGAUCUGGACGACGUGUGUAAUUUUUUUUAAUUAUUAAAAAAAAUUAUUUUUUUACACGCAUGGCGUCCACGUUAGCAUUGUCUUGGUCAAAAUUGGCAUGGGCACAAAACUGCAAAAGGGACAGUACUUAGGGGGCUGGAUUGUAUUUUAUUUUGUUAGGGUGUCAAAAUCGCAACUUCCUGAUACUCAGGGGGCCAAAACUGCUAUUAAGCAUAAAUUUUAAAUUAGUUGAUAAUUUUUUCAAAAAAUAGUGUUUUUACCAAAAAAUAAUCAAAUAAAAAUAUUGAUAAUGGGCCAGCCCGACCCCAUUUUUAUGUGGGACAAAUGGGCUUGGGCCAAAAAAACCAAGUGCAUUUUGGACCAUUCUUUUUGGCUCGGCCCAAAAUAUGGGCUAAUGGGCCGGCUUGGCUUUACAGCUCUAGGUGCAUGGUCCUCACCUUGGAAAAGCAAGGUCUCACUGGUCCCACCAAUUCAAUGUUAUCCCAAUGCACAUCAAAGGAUAGUAGUACAAGGCAUAUUUAUAUUGAAGUUUCCCUAGAGUAAGCUCAAUUUUCCAUGUGGGACUAGCAUGUAUAUAUAUUUGACAAACAACACUUGCUAUAUCUCUGUUAGCUAAUCUCUUUUCCCAUGAGUAAAGAUAUUUAAACAAUUUUUUUGCUACAACUUUUGUGACAACCUUGAUGUGCUCUCUUUUCAUUGGUCAAAAACAAUGGAGAGAGAAAAAGGAAGAGAGAGAAUAAGAAGAUAAUGCGAGUAUGAGAGAUAAAGUUGUACAAAAAUGGUUGUACAAAUAUCAUUUCUCUUUUCUCACCUGGGCUACUAUUUUUUACUCCUAGCGUACCAAUUAUUAUAUUUGAACGUACCAAUUAUGUAUACCCCUUACAUACCUGAUUUUUUGAAAGUUGUGAACCGCGUACCUGAACCCAUGUCACAUACCAAAUCGAAUUACGAAUUGUGUCACUUUGAUUCUAUCAUUAAAUGAGUCUCACUAUCAUUAAUUAUUUUUAAAAAAAAUUGUGUCUUUGUCUCUUCAAAUAGAAGAAAUGGAAAAGAGAUUAAAUGAAGAAGAUUUUAACUCGAUCUUAACACUCGAGAGGUCAUGUUCUAAUUUUAAAAAGUUGACCAUAAUAAAAGGAAAGUGUUGUUGGACCCUAGAAAUUAAUUGAAGAUAUUAUAUAUUUACCAAAUGAAGCACCAAAAACUCAAAAUUUGGACCUCAAAAUAUCGAGGUCAUGUGUUGUUAGUCUUCUUGCACACCAUCAUAAUCAGCUCUGAUUAUAUGUAGUUGGGAUACCCUCAAUUCAGACAUUCAGUAUGUCGGUGGUCCUUUUAUCUUUGGUCCGAAAGCACAUACUAAAGCGAUUUAGACAAGGGCGGAGGGACUGGGGUGGCCAAGGGAGGCCAUGGUCCCCCAAUUUUCUUAUAAAUAAUUUUAUACUACUAAUAUAUUGCUAUUUAACUAUAAAUGUCAAUGUGGUUCUCCAUCAUUAGCACUUUCAUUUGAAGUCUUAAGUCUUAUAUUAUAUGAACAUUAAGCCUUUGUCCUUUAUAACUAAAAAAGAGUCAUUUAACUAUGUCAAGUAUAAAAGCAACAAUAGAAUAAAAUAUAAAAAGUUACUCUUUUCACUUUCAUUUUUUCUCCCAGCUAUCCGAAAAUACCAAAAUACUUUCGACAUAGUUAACUAUCAUUCAAGAAACUUUUAAAAUCAAUUAAAUCGAUUUAAAAAGUAAUUAACCUAUCUGAAAAGUGUCGAACGAUAUUUCAAUAUGCCGGAGAGGCGAACGAAAGUUAAAGUCGCUCGACCAACGAUAGUUGCGAAAAUGAGAAAUUUUGAAAGUGACAAGAGUAAAAAAGGGCAACCCGGUGCACUAAAGCUCCCGAAUAUAUAGGGUCCGGGAAGGGGUCCCACCAUUAUUGGUGUAUUGUACGCAACCUUAUCCUGUAUUUUACACAAGAGGUUGUUUCCAGGACUUGAACCCGUGACCUUUCAGUCACAUAACAACAACUUUACUAGUUGCGCAAGGUUACAAGAGUAACUUUCAUAAAAUAAAUCAAGUAAGAAGUAAAUCUAAUUUUUCUAUCUUCUUCCAAUAUUAACUUCAAAUGUAGCUUAAAUUUCUCAAUAUGCAGUACAUUUGAACUUUUGUUGUUUAACCAGAGUAUACAUUUUAAACUUGGUCCCCCCAUUGUUUAAUUUCUGGCUCCGCCCCUGGAUUUAGAUUCUAUGUAGUCGUUUAAUGGUUUGUCUGAUAUUAAUCCAAUGGUCACCAAUACCCUAACUGUGUGAAUGCAAGGAUAUCCCAACUGCAACGGAUCCAUUUCAUUUGUUGUGCAUAGGAGUAAUAAUGAUGAUAUUAUUUUUUUUUAGAGAAAUAAUGAUGAUAUUUGUGUGUUGCUGUUUUCAUUUUUCAAAUCUAGUUCCUUUUCGAGAAACAAGUGAUUCGGAAUUUGCAUAUUUAUGCCUUAAAACAGUGUUUAACAUAAAAAUAUGAAAAGGGCAUACUUUGAAUUCUGUAGAGACUAACUUGUGUAAGCUUAUUUACCGGUGACAUAAGCCCUUGUAAGACUGUUUGAGAGAGCUUAUGUGGAAGCACCUUAUGAUAUGUCCAUAAGUUGUUUUCAGCUUAUUUCCAUAAUCUCUAUUUUAUCUUUUAUUGUUAAAAGUGUUUGAUUAUGUUGUUUAUCCAAACACAGUCAUCUUGUAACAAUAAUGGACAUCUUAUGCACAUUCCUAGCUUCUAGGCAUAUAUUGUUCUUCAUACCUGAAUCCUUAUGCAACAAUCUUAAUGCAGAUUUUAGGUGCAUAUCCAGGAACUCCAUUAAUUGUUACUGGAAAAGGCCUCGGAGGAUCAAUAGCUUCACUCUUCACAAUAUCACUAUUAGACAACAUUGGUUCAACAAAGAAUCGACCACUAUGCAUCACAUUUGGUUCACCUCUUGUUGGUGACAGGAAGUUGCAACGAGCCAUAUCACGUAGUUCGAAUUGGAAUUCUUGCUUUAUUAAUGUUGUUUUUUGCAAUGAUCCACAUCCGAGGCUAUUCAUCACAAACUACAUGCCUUUUGGAACAUUUCUCUUUUGUUCUGAUUCAGGUUCUACUUGUUUUGAGAAUCCCGAAUCAAAUUUGGAAAUAAUAGUGACAUUAAGCAAAAUGCAUGGUCAAAAUCAAGGAUUCAAAUUAGAUGAGUACGGAAGUAUAGUCGAAAAUCUCAGACGUAGAGCAUUUUUUAAGGAUGUUUCUACGCCGGCUGGAGACAGGACUCAUUCAGAUAAACUUGUGAUUGGUAUCAGUUUGCAGUUGCAAGCACUAGGAUUGACACCAAACAUUCUGGUAUGUGAAUAUCUUUUAUCUUUUAGAUCAACUUUUCGUAGUUUAUUGGAGCUUGUUAAUUAAGACCCUGUGAGUUAUUUCUAUAACAAGAGGUAAAAGUAAGAAUGUCAAACUGUUUUCGUGUAAGUUAUGAGAUGUCUUCAUAAACUAUCCUGGAGAGCUUAUGAAAACAAGUGAAAAAUAGCUUAGGAACAUGUCAAGUUUUUAUGUCAGUAAAUAAGUUAAAAUAAAUUAAUCCAAGCAGAAUUUAAAUUGGUUUACGAUUCGUUGCUUAAGUCCUAAUAAGAUUAUGAAUGCUUCUUGACCUCAUUUCUAAAAUUUACUUUGGAUGCAGCAAGAGCUUGACAUUGAUGUCAAUGCUCUAGAAACAAAGAUAAAAAGACUAGAACAAUUUUUAAUCUUUCAAAAGAAGACAUCAUUUGAUCCAUCCAAGAAACUGAAUGAAAUGAGGCGACAUAUGGCGCAACUUGAAUGGUACAGAAAGAAAACAAAAAAUCUUGACAUAGGGUACUAUGACAGCUACAAAAACAAGAACGUAUCAGCUGAUUAUGAAGUUGAUUGGUAUUUAAAAAGCAUCAUAUUUUUUUGGGAAAAGAUGGUUGAAGAAGCUGAUCUGAAGCCUCAAAGAGAAGGCGCUGCAUUUCGUACUCGCUGGAUCUUCGGUGGAACUACAUAUAGAAGAAUGGUUGAACCACUAGCUAUUGCUCAAUACUAUAGAGACGGUGGUAAAGAUUAUAUCAAUAAACAAAGAUCCAAACACUUCAAAGCUUUGGAGGAAUGGUUAGAGGAAGGCCAGACAAAAGCUAAAAUUGAAUCAAAUCGUAUAAAUAGGAAGAAUGUGGAAGUGAUUUUGACUAUAGAUUCUUGCUUUUGGGCACAUGUUGAAGAGGCUAUACUUGCAUGCAAAGAGUUGAAGGUUGUGAAAUACAAAGAAGAGGUAUUGAAUAAAUUGGUUGAAUUUGAAAACUAUGUUUAUGGUUUGCUUAAGGAUUAUGUUGUGUCUCCUGAGAUUUUCUUGAGGCAAAGUAGCUAUAUGAGUUGGUGGAAUAAUUAUAAAGUUGUUAAGGGAUCUUCAUACACUUCAAAACUUGCUAAUUUCAUGAAUGAUGCUGGAAACAUUAAGCUGUAUGGUUUGGGAGGUUAUGACUUUCCUUGAAGUAUGUUUGUUGCAUAAUAAAACUGAGUCUUAUAUGUUGUAAUAAAUCAGGAUUUGAUCACAUUCUUAUGCUCUUAUGAACCUUAUUGAUUAAUAAUGGAAGCUUUUUAUCUUUGUUUUUCCGUUGCAAAUCAAUCCUCUUUCUUAGAGAAUUUGUCGUUCAGGUAAAUAAAUUUCUGUGCUAUUUUUUUUGGUGUUAACUCUCCGAUUCCUAGGGGCCUAGUAUGUUGAAAUGUGUAAAUGACAAAGAUCAAAGAAUCACAAAUACUCCCAUCUCUCUUAUAUGAAAUGAAGAAAGAAUUUUUAUUGGUUGGUUUAGCACUAGGAUUAGAAUAUGUUUCCUCAUAAUAUCUAUCUUAUACAGGAGCAAGAAAAGGGUUGGACUACACACACUCACUUGAAACUUGGUUGUUGAGUUGAAUAAGGAUUACGAGAAAUGCUUAAGUUUGUGAUUAAUGUGCGCUCGAAAUUUAAGCCCUUGAGGAGACAUGUGUUUUAAUUAAAUUGUCAUAUGAUAAUAUUGUUUUGUGCUACCAUGUUUAUGCCUUUUGCUUGAGGACAAGCAAAGAUUCAAGUGUGGGGGAGUUUGAUGAGUCAAUCAAUAAUUAGAUAUUUUAGUUUAAUAUCUAGUUUCGUUUUGGGUUAAUGGUGUUUUACCCCCUGUAAUAUAGGUCAUUUUUUGUUUUCCCCAUGUAAAAUAUUUUUUUUGAUUUACCCCCUGUAAAAUUUUUUUUUUUUUGGAAUACCCCAUAGGUCAUAUAAAAACGAAAAAAUUCUGCAAAAAAAAAAAUAAAGUCGUUUUUUUAUGACCUAUUAGGGGGUAUUCCAAAAAAAAAAAAAAAUUACAGGGGGUAAAUCAAAAAAAAUAUUUUACAGGGGGAAAACAAAAAAUAACCUAUAUUACAGGGGUAAAGCACCAUUAACCCUUUCGUUUUAAUUAGAUUUUAGUUUAUUAUUUUUUAAUAUUAUUUCCUUUUUGAGCUAUUUUACUUCAAUUGCAUUUUAUUAUAUUUCAGGAAUGAAUAUUUGAUGGAUUGAGUCUUGGAGCAAAAGAAAGGGGUUUUGGAGCUGAUUCGGUACGAAAAUACGAAGAUUCAGAGAAAAAAAUAUAUCUCCCUCAAGUCAGAAACUUGGCACGGCCUGUGCUAAGGUUGGCACGGCCGUGCCACCUCCCAGGACAACUUUUGCUGCUUUUGCUUAUAUUCUAAGCUACUCUAUUUGGUUUUACGACAAAACCCUUUGCUUGUGGAACAUUCUAGUUAUGUAAUUGCUUAGAUUUUAAGUCGAAUGUUACCUAUAAAUAGAGUAGCUAGUCAUCACAAAUAUUCAUCUUUUCUUGAGGUUUAUAUACAUGUUAUUUGGUUUUUUUGAAUUUUGAAUGUGGCGUAGCCUCUAUUUCUUGAAUAAAUGUAUUAUUCGCAUGUUUAAUUGCUUUAAUAAAAAUAGGAGUGUUACACCACUUGCAUAAAAUGAUUGGGCCAUGUGACAUUCCGUUAGUUUUGCUUCUUUUUUUUAACAGAAAGUUAACAAAGGGACCAAUGUCAAUAUUUUUACAAAGUGCAGGGACUAAAACCAAACAAAAAAAAGUGCAGGGAUCAAUCCCAAAAUAUGAUGAAAUUGCAGGGACCAAUGACACAUUUAAGCCUAAAGUUAUUAGAAAAAACAUAUGUUUCUGUGUUUUUUCACAUGACGAAUGACUUCAUUGAAAAUUUUUUAACAAAAAUAUGAACUAUUUUAAAAUAUUAAGAGUCUGAGACUAAUUUGAGAAUCAAUUACAAAAGACAUAGAUCAAUUUGAUGGUUUACUCAAUAUUUUUUUUUCCUAAAAAAAGAAGUAUAGUCUUUGGAAAAUUGAUGUCAUUGCAAGUGCAAUUGCUAGGAAGGGGAGUAAUAGGUAAGAAGUAUAGUCAACCAAGCGUGUCUACUUUUUUUAAUAGCAAGUACUUAGGAGCGACAUAGAUGAAUGGUUUGAGACAAUCUUGGACAUAGAAAUAAAUAAUAUUAAAAUGAAAGACAAGAUAUUUUUUUAUAAAAAAUGAUAUUUACACGAUUAUUUUAUGAUAAUUUUAUUUCUCAUAUUAUGUUUUUACUUUAUUUCUUUAGUGCAUUAUUUUUUAUCAAUAUCUACUUUUUUACGUAAAUUUAUAGUUGUUUCAUAAGAAAUUAUACAUAGAUUGUUCAAAUAACACAUUAUCAUUGAUACAAUUAUUUUGUCUUUAAUAAGAUGUUUGGAUGUGGGCCAUUUUAGUCUAGUGGUGUUUGAAAUUGUGUGAAAGCUAGAAACUAAAGAAAACGAAGGUUGUUUUCACAUCUCCCUCAAUGCUACGACAUUUCUCUUUUUCUUAAAAAAAUUCAAUUAUUGAAAGUAUUGUUUAAAGUAUUCAUUUUAGGAGUGACCAAGACUGAGUCCAACCCAAAGACUCCUUCAGACACAGUAAUUUCGAGUUGCAACCAACUUGCCUUGUCCCAAACAAAAUAUGGGCAAACGAAUUGUCUCAAAUAGUAUUCUUUCUUCCUCCCAUUAAAAAAUAUUUGAAUUCUGCUCUUUACCUAACAAAAAUCACUUACACUCAACUGAACUUUCCAAAAUAUCUCUGCGUGAGUUAACUCACGUAUGUGUUAAAAUUAAGUCACGUUUUUUUACACUUGUGUGAGUUAACUCACACAUGAGUAUUUUAGAAAGUUUAGUGGGGUGCGAGUAAUUUUUGUUGGAUAAAUAGCAUAAUUCAAAAUAUUUGAGUUGACCUAAAUUAUCGAGACUAUUCUUAACAUGCACAUUCAUAGUUAAAUAGUUUGAGAAUAUUCUUAGAAGAGAACUGGAUUCUUUUCACAAGUCUUAUCAUUAGAACUAUUUUAAAAUUUUAAUAGUGGUAUUUAUACAUAUACAAUUUUAUUUUCCACGACUUACAUUUUAUGGCUCAAUUUUUGAGUCCCACGUCGAGUAGAUAAAAGUGUUUGGGUUGAGCUCUCUUCAUGAAUUUAAAUCCGAACAAUUGGUGCUCUCGUUGAGAGUUAGACCACAGAAAGGAUCACCCAUAGGUUGGAUUAAGGUGUUCCACCGAAUACUAAUAAGUGAGUGAAGCCAUCAAAGGUCAUGGACGUCAGCUAAUAGUGGACAUCGGCUCAUAAAGGGCGUGAUAAUGUUAUAAAUCCCAUAUCGAGUAUAUAAAAGUGUUUGAUGUGAUAUUUAAGCCAUGAUAUUUUCUCACAUUGAACUAGUCUUUUGAGUAAAACUCUCCGUAUACUAGGAGUAUAUUAGAAGUAGACACACUUGGUUGGUUGACUUUGCAAUUGUAGUAGUUGCAAUGACAUAAAUUUUCCAAAGACUAUACUUCUUUUUUUUUUUUUUUUGGUAGAUCCAAAGACUAUACUUCUUCUCCUACUUCAACCAUAUAAUAUAUAUACCAUAUCAAUUCUCAUAUCUCAUUUCUCAUACCUCUAUUCUCAUGGCUAUGCCACAAUCAUCUUCCUCCUCUUCUUCAUCCUCCUCCAAAUUCACCUAUAACGUGUUCCUAAGUUUCAGAGGAGCUGACACUCGCCAUGGUUUUACCGGCAAUCUUUACGAUGCUCUAUGUAAAAGUGGAGUCCACACUUUCAAGGAUGACGAGGAGCUUCAACGAGGGGGUGAAAUAACAGCAUCACUUAUGAAAGCCAUUGAAGAGUCCAGAAUUUUCAUCCCUGUUUUCUCAAAGAACUAUGCUUCUUCUUCAUUUUGUUUGGACGAACUUGUCCACAUCAUUCGUUACUCCAAGUCAAAGGGACGCCUGGUUCUACCAGUUUUCUAUGAUAUUGCUCCUACUCAUGUACGAAAGCAGACUGGGAGCAUCGGUGAAGAACUUGCGAAGCAUCAAGAGAAGUUCCAAAAGAAUAUGGAAAGGCUGCAGGAAUGGAAGAUGGCUCUUAAAGAAGCAGCUGAGCUUUCCGGCCACCACUUCAAUCUUGCGGGGUACUCCACUUCAUUCUUUGUUUCUUAUAUUAUCCAUUGUCUCAUCAUUUAAUCUUAUAACUUGAAUGGGAAAAGAUUUUAGAAUUAAUUGAAUCUUAGGGAUAAUAACGAUCAUCAUACGGGUUCAGUAAGUUUUUGAUUUUAUAUAAAUCUCAACUUUCGUUUUUUGUUCUCUAAAAAUUUACAGACGACCUGACAUUCGCGAUGGUUUUACCGGCAAUCUUUACGAUGCUCUACGUAAAAGUGGAGUCCACACUUUCAUGGAUGACGAAGAGCUUCAACGAGGGGGUGAAAUAACACCAUCGCUUGUGAAAGCCAUUGAAGAAUCCAGAAUUUUCAUCCCUGUUUUCUCAAAGGACUAUGCUUCUUCUUCAUUUUGUUUGGACGAACUUGUCCAUAUCAUUCGUUGCUCCAAGUCAAAGGGACGCCCGGUUCUGCCAGUUUUCUGUAACAUAGAUCCUAAUCAUGUACGAAAUCAGACUGGGAGCAUCGGUGAAGAACUGGCAAAGCAUCAAGAGAAGUUCCAAAAGAAUAUGAAAAGGCUGCGGGAAUGGAAGAAAGCUCUUAAACAAGCAGCUGAUCUUUCCGGCUACCACUUCGAUCUUGCUGGGUACACCACUUCAUUCUUUGUUUCUUAUAUUAUCCAUUGUCUCAUCGUUUAAUCUUGAAACAGGAAAUUAUUUGAAUUGUAGUAACAUCAAUAAUGAUAACGAUAAUAUGAUUAUCAAAUUGUGAUGCAAUGACUAAUACUUAUCUGAUUGUAUUGGAUAGGACUGAAUAUGAAUCCAAUUUUAUUCAAGGCAUAGUUAAAGAGGUCUCCCGCAGGAUCGAUCGUGUACCUCUACAUGUUACAGAGUUCCCUGUUGGCCUGGAAUCUCAAGUACUAAAAGUAAAGUCACUUAUGGACGUUGGAUGCCAUGAUGGUGCCCAGAUGAUUGGGAUCCAUGGGAUUGGCGGAAUAGGCAAAACAACACUUGCAAAAGAGAUUUAUAAUCGGAUUUAUGAUCAAUUUGACAAGGUGUGUUUCCUACAUGACGUGAGAGAAAUUUGUUCGACUAAAUAUGGCUUAGUACAUCUCCAGGAGCAACUCCUCUUCCAAACAGUUGGGCUAAACGAUAAGCUAGGACAUGUCAGUGAGGGAAUUCAAUUCAUAAAGGAAAGACUACAACAGAAGAAGGUUUUGUUGAUUCUUGAUGAUGUUGACCAACCAGACCAGCUGAAGGCUUUGGCUGGAGAUCUUAAUUGGUUUUGCGGUGGUAGCAAGGUGAUCGUUACCACCCGAGAUAAACAUUUGUUAGCAAGUUAUGGGGUUGAAAAAACAUAUGAAGUGAAUGGGUUAAAUGAGAAAGAUGCACUUGACUUGUUGAGGUGGAAGGUUUGUAAAAGUAACAAAAUUGGUUCCAGUUAUGAGGGCAUUUUAGAACAUGCAUCAAGAUAUUCCUCUGGCCUUCCAUUAGCUUUAGAAGUAGUGGGUUCUGACUUGUCUGGAAAGUCUAAAGACGAAUGGAGUUCUACAUUGGCUCGAUAUGAAAGGACUGUUCCUAAAAACAUCCAACAGAUACUUAAAGUCAGCUUUGAUGCUUUGCAGGAGGAAGAUAAGAGUCUCUUUCUCGACAUUGCUUGUUUUUUCAAAGGAUGUAGACUGGAAGAGUUCCAAGAUAUACUUGAUGCUCAUUAUACUUAUUGCAUCAAAAAUCAUAUUGGAGUGUUGGUUGAAAAAUCACUCAUAAAGAUUAUUGGGGGUUGUGUGACAUUACAUGACUUGAUAGAGGAAAUGGGUAAAGAAAUCGUACGACAAGAAUCACCAAAAGAGCCUGGAAAACGUAGUAGGUUGUGGUCCCAUGAAGAUAUAGUUCCUGUUUUACAUGCAAAUUCGGUGAGUAAGAAUAAUGCAUGUAUAUGUGUAUAUAAACACUCAACUUUUUAUCUUCAACCUUGAUUUUGUCUUUUUGAUUAUCAGUGCUACUAAUGCUAAUGUAAAUUUCCCUAUAUGUACGUGUUAAGUUUGUAAUAUUUUUGUUUACUUGGUUAUGGUUUUUUUUUAAUAGGGAACAAGAAAAAUUGAAAUAUUAUACCUGAAUUUCUCAUUGUCUAAAGAAGAAGAGGUAGAAUGGAAAGGAGAUGAAUUGAAGAAGAUGGAAAAUCUUAGAACAAUUAUCAUCCGAAAUUGCCCCUUUUCCAAAGGUUGUCAACAUCUUCCAAAUGGUUUGAGAGUGCUGGAUUGGCCUAAAUACCCUUCAGAGAAUUUACCAUCUGAUUUUUUUCCAAGGAAACUUUCCAUAUGCAGGUUACGUGAAAGUAGCCUUACAACAUUUGAGUUUCCUAGCUCAUCCAAAGUAGGUGUAAUGUUUUCAUUUUCCUCAUCUUGUGUACCAACUCACUACUGUAAGAUUACUCAUUUUUUCUCUUCUCUCUCUCUUUUUUAUUUUUUGCAGAAGUUCUUGUGCAUGAGAGAGUUAAAUUUAGACCACAAUCAAUCUUUAACACAGAUACUUGACAUAUCUGGUCUCUUAAAUUUGGAAAUACUGUCAUUUCGAGAUUGUUCGAAUUUAAUUACAAUUCACAAUUCGAUUGGGUUUUUGAAUAAACUCAAAAUCUUGAACGUUACUGGCUGCAGCAAGCUGAGUAGUUUUCCACCCAUAAAGUUGACAUCUCUUCUAAAACUUGAACUUUCACAUUGUAAUAAUCUCAAGAGUUUUCCAGAAAUAUUAGGAGAUAUGAAACAUAUAACAUACAUUGAAUUGGUUGGUACUUCCAUAGAACAAUUUCCAUUUUCCUUUCAAAAUCUCUCCAUGGUCCAUACUUUACAAAUAUUUGGAAGUGGAAAGCCUCAUAAUUUGUCUUGGAUUAAUGCUCGUGAAAAUGAUAUACCGAGCUCCACGGUGUAUUCAAAUGUUCAAUUUCUUCAUCUCAUAGAAUGCAAUCCAUCAAAUGAUUUUCUUCGAAGGUUUGUCAAUGUGGAAGUUUUAGACCUAUCGGGAAGUAAUCUCACCGUUCUUUCAAAAUGCCUCAAAGAGUGUCACUUUUUACAAAGACUUUGUUUGAAUGAUUGCAAGUAUCUCCAAGAAAUUACAGGGAUUCCGCCAAGUUUAAAACGUUUGUCUGCAUUACAAUGCAAUUCACUGACUUCCUCAUGUAGAAGCAUGCUACUUAGUCAGGUUUUGUAUUUUGUUUUAUAUCUAUUUGACUUCAUUUUUAAUAUUUCAUAAUGAUUUUUCUUGCUAAACUUGUUAGUUCUUUACAAAUAACAGCAUUUGCAUGAAGAUGGAGGCACCGAGUUUAGUUUGGCAGGAAGUGCUAGGGUUCCAGAGUGGUUUGAUCACCAAAGCGAGGGACCAUCAAUUUCUUUUUGGUUUCGUGGCAGGUUCCCUUCCAUAGCUCUCUUCGUUGCUAGUCUAUCAACGGAUAACAGGCAUCCCAACAGUGAUUUUCUUUCAUUAACAGCCCAUCUGAGAACCUAUACCGAUGGUAUUGAGUUUGACAUCAACAGUGUCGAUCUCAAUCUCGUGAUACAACCAGAUCAUACAUAUCUAUAUGAUCUGCGACAGCAAGUGAUGGAACUCGAAUCUGACCUGGAGAAAACAGAUUUAAUAGAUGAAUGGAUCCAUGCAGAGAUUACGUUUAAGUGUGAGGGCGGCAGAGAGGAAGAAUUGUUUAUAGAAAGUGGAGUUCACGUAUUCAAGCUGAAAACUAGUAUGGAGGAUAUUCGAUUUACCAAUCCGCAUAAUUGAGAAAGUUUCAAACCCAACAAAGUAGAAAUAUUUUCUUCCAUCUUCAUUUAGAGUCUCUUAGCUUUUACUUCUAGUAAUUAUGUUGUCAUUGAGCCUUUUGGAGGUUGUCAUCAACUUUGGCCCUCAGAUUUAGAGUUCAUGGUUUUUGUUGUUGUAACAUCUGAGACAAUAAUUUCAUCGGUAUUGGUUUUCAAUAACAAGUGAAAACAAAAUAAUUGUGUCUCAAAAUUAAGUUCAUGUUUGUUUUUCCUUGUUUGCAACACUAAUUAAGUCACCGUCAACCAUCUUUUGUGUUUUGAUAAACUUUUUUCAAGUAUGUGAAAUAAGCCAAUUCUAUGGUGCACAAGAGACAAAUCUUGCAUCAUGUAGAAGCUAGUUUCUACCUUUGGAUCAAUAAAUCUUACAAUUAAAUUAAAUGAAAUAUGAUAUGAUUUUUUAAUUCAAUUUUGGAAAAAACAUUUGUCCAUGAAGUAAGAUCAUUUUCCUUAUGUAUGUUAGACAAAUUCCUUAGGAUAAGUUUUAGAGUACUUUCCUACCAAAUUUAGAUGUUUACAUGACCACUCUAAAAUCUAAUAAUGUGUCUAAAACAACGAUUGAAAAUAAACUUCCCAUGAUUUUUUUACUUUUUUGACAAAAAAAACAAUCAAAAGUUUUCCUCAUAUAUAAAAAAAAAUAAAAAUAAAUAAAAAUAAAAAAAGGAAUGUUGUACCACUGAGGGAGGUGUGAAAAGAAGCUCCCUUUACUUUAGUUUCUACAUAAUUUCAAACACCCGUUCAAAAUAGCCCACAUCCAAACUUGCAAAAUAAUUGUAUAAAGAAAAUACGAAGAUUCUACCUCAUCCUUCACAUCUGAUUGAGACUAUAAAAUCCAAAAAUGUUGUAGGAUGUUGGAGUGUAUUUUUAACGUGUUUUUAUACCGUUCAGAUUUUAUGAUUCAAAUUAUCGUACUGAAUGGAAUAAGAAACUAUCAAAAAUAUAUUGCCUUUCGUUUCAUUCAUUUUAAUCUAUAUCUAUAUUAUAUAAAUUUAGGACCUGUUUCAUGUCCCUUAAUGGAAAUAAUUUUCUUCUCUUCUUUUCUUGACAUGUGUCACCACAUUUCAAUGUUUUAGGAUUUCAUUCAAGUCACGACAUGUGGCACUCUUUUUUUUAAAAAUAGGCUAAAAUGAAAUAUAUUACCACAUCAACAAGGUCUUCCUAGCACAAGGUGUGCUAAGGAAGAAACACCAAAAUACAAAUUGUCUACAACAAAAGUACAGUGAUCGCCACCAAACAACAACAAAUCAAAAAAGAGUUAACCAUUACCCAACACCUAAAAUAGUAAACGGACAGAGCCACCACCCAUGAUAAUUAGACAUGUGGCACUCUAAUAUUGUUUUAUCCUCAAGCAUUUGCAUUAUUGUAACUUUGUGUCUUAAUUUUUCUAAUUAAUAUAUGGAACCAUGGUACCGUUUGGUAUGGACAAAUAUACAAUUUGUGCACCAAUUGUGCAUUUUCAACCUGAAAGCAAAUCUGGACCAUUGAUUUAUUAUUAUUUUAUUCGAAUGGUCAGGAUUUGUUGGAAAAGUGGGAAAGGUGACCUGCUGCCAUCAAGUUGUUUUUGUGCAGGCGGGUCCCACGCGUGGAUUAAAUUUGAUUAUUUAAAUGGUUUUUUUGGCAAUUAUUCUAUUGGGCUUAGCAGGAUCAGGUGCAUAACGCAGGCACGACCGCGCCAAUAUUAAGCACGACCGGGUCAAAUAGAACAAGGGUCGAGCACGACCGUGUCGAUGUAGUGCACGACCGUGUGUCGAUUUGUAUUGGGAUUAAUGGUAUUAGAAAAUUCUACAAUUUUUCUUAAUUCAUAAUAUAAAUUAAAUAUACAAUAAAUCAUAUUUAGAAAUCAAAUAUACAUUAAAUAAAAAAAGAAUAAAAAUUUAGUAAAAGUUUUUGUUGUAAACUGAGAAAAUUUAGUUAAUAAUUGGAUUUUGUUUUAUUUUUUUAUUUAGACUUACAUAAUUAAAUGAAAAUGACCAUUUUAGAUAAUCCUCGUUUACAUAGAUUAAUUAAUUAAUAAAUAUAAAAUGUCAAGUUUAGGUUAUUUUGGUGACCAGAGUGUGUACAUUAUUGUUGAAUGGGUCAAGGUAAAUGGACAUUAAAACACACAAAACAUUUAUUCAUUAGCAAGUUUUACUUUGUUCAAUUAAUGUAUUUUUAUGACUCCAAUAUUCUUUAAGUUAGGGUAAGAGUUGUGAGUUUGAUCAGUCGUUUUAAAAUCUUUGAAUUAGUUUAGGUAAAAUAAACUUGUCAUUAGGGUUAUAGUUGAAGGCUUGGUUAGUCGAUAAAGACUUUGAUUAGUCAGUGAUCGUUCAUCCAAUUAGUCUGACUCGAAGAUUCUUGAAGUUAAGGCUAGAGUUGUGAGUUUGAUCAGUCGUUUUGAAAUCUUUGAAGUAGUUUAGGUGAAAGAAUCUUGGAAUUAGGGUUAGAUUUGUCAUUAGGGUGAUACUUGUAAGCCUGAUUAAUCGAUAAAGUCUUUGAUUAGUCGUUGGCCGUUCAUGAACGUACUUUGACUCCAAUAUUCUUUAAGUUAGGGUAAGAGUUGCGAGUUUGAUCAGUCGUUUUGAAAUCUUAGAAGUAGUUUAGGUCGAAGAAUCUUGUCAUUAGGGUUAGAGUUACAAGCUUGAUCGGACGAACUAUCCCCUCAUAAAGUAGUCAAGUUAGUAACUAGUUAACUCCGAUGAACUAAACGUGCCUAGCACCUGAACAGCAACAAGUACAAUCAAUCUGACCGUUCAAAAUGACCUUCUAAGACCUAAAAGGAGAUAUAAACUUGAAUUUCUCAUAUCGAGUUCCUUGAGCUAAGUCGAUUGGACGAACUAUCCCGUCAUAAACUAGUCAACUUAGUAACUAGUUUACUCGGAGGACCUAAACGUGCCUAUCACCUGAACAGCAACAAGUACAAUCAAUCCGACCGUUCAAAAUGACCUUUUAAGACCUUAAAGGAGAUAUAAACUUGAAUUUCUCAUAUCGAGUUCCCGGAGCUAAGUCGAUUGGACGAAGUAUCCCGUCAUAAACUAGUCAACUUAGUAACUAGUUUACUCGGAGGACGUGCCUAUCACCUGAACAACAACAAGUACAAUCAAUCUGACCGUUCAAAAUGACCUUCUAAGACCUAAAAGGAGAUAUAAACUUGAUAUUUCUCAUAUCGAGUUCCCGGAGCUAAGUCGAUUGGACGAAGUAUCCCGUCAUAAACUAGUCAACUUAGUAACUAGUUUACUUGGAGGAAAUAGUUUAAAAUGACAUCUUGGAAAUAGUUUAAUCAGUCGUUAUGACAUCUUGGAAAUAGUUUAGGACAAAGAAUCAUGUCAUUAGGUUGAGAGUUGUUAAUUUGAUUAGUCGGUGAAAAAUUUGAUUAGUCAUUGAACAUUCACCCAAGUACUUUGUCUACAAGAUCUUUCAAUUAUAGUAAGAGUUGUGAAUUUGUAUUAGUUGUUAUGACAUCUUGGAGUUGUUUAUGUUGAAGAAUCUUGUUAUUAGGUUGAGAGUUGUAAGCUUGAUUAGUCGGUAAAGAGUUUGAUUAGUUAGUAAAGAUAUUGAUUAGUCGAUAAAGAGUUUGAUUAGUCAUUGAACGUUCCAAGUACUUUCGCUGCAAGAUUAUUUCAGUUUGAUUAGUUAUUCUAACAUCUUUGAAGUAGUUUAGAUCAAAGAAUCUUGUGAUUAGGGUUAGAUCUGCAAGCGUGUUUUCUCAUUGAACGUUCAUGCAGGUAGUUUGACUCCAAUAUUCUUUCAGUUAGGGCAAGAAUUUUGAGUUUGAUUAUUCGUUUUGAAAUCUUCGAAGUAGUUUAGGUGGAAGAAUAUUAUAAUUAGGGUUAUAGUUUUUAUUAGGAUUAGAUUUGUAAGGUUAGUUAGUCGAUAACAAUAGUUUGAUUAGUGAUUGAACGGUUAUCCAAGUACUUUGAAUACGUUCAUCAAAGUACUUUGACUCCAAUAUUUUUUAAGUAAGGGUAACAGUUGUGCAUUUGACAAGUCGUUUUGAAAUCUUUGGAUUAGUUUAGUUCUAAGAAAAUUGUUAUCAGGGUUAUAGAUGUAAGCUUGAUUAGAUCAACUUAAGAUUGUGUAGAUUUAAAACAAUGGCCGGGUGGAUCAACGUUCAUACGCAAUUCAACGGGGGAGAAGCUCAGAGACACAACGAUGGUGGAACACGUUUGGUAUGCGGGUGAAGUUGCUUAGAUCAACUUAAGAUAUCAUCAAAAUUUUGAUUCCGCCAUAAAAUCGUCAUUAGUUAGGGUAAGGUGCAUUCCAACUACAACAAUUGUCUUCCUUUGAAUGGGGUAAUUCAAACUUGUCGAACAACAGGACUCGAGCAUUUCGCAAGCGCCUCAUGUUUCUCCUUUGAAAAUAUUAAAUUCUUGUUAUGCUGGUUUAGAUGAAGGUAUUAAGUGUCAAGGAUUGAACCUCAAUUCGGUGGCACUUGAAUACCAUCAUCUAAAGCAAGCCUGACAAAAAUUUAUUCUUUUCAAAGGGAAAACAUGAAGUGCUUGGCGAAAUGCUUGAGUCCUGUUGUUUUUUGAAUUUAUCCCAUUCAAAGGUAACACAAUUGUUGUGGUUGAAAUGCACAUUCCAACUGCAAAAAUUGUCUUACUCUGGAUGGGGCAAUUCAAACUUGCUAAUCAGCAGGACCCCAAUAUUCGAUCAGCAUCUUGAACGCUGGUAUUCAAGUGUCAAGGAAUGCACCUCAUUCUUUUGACACUUGAAUACCACUGUUCAAGAUCCUGAUCGAAUACUGGAGUCCUGCUGCUUGGCAAGUUUGAAUUUGCCCCAUUUAGUGGUAAGAUGAUUGUUGCAGUUGAAAUGUAAAUUUCAAAAUGUAAUGUAAUGUCUAAUGCAAUGUAAUGUGAUAACAUAUAUUUUGUUUUCAAUGGAACAAUAAUUAUCUUACUUAUUCACUUUUCAAAUUUAAGGACAAUGCCAAAUGUGGGAACAACAAUUCUCUAACUUUAAUAUCAAUUGAAGGACAAUGCCUGCUUGAAGGUGUUGUUGGGAGUGUUAACAUGGAUAUUUAUGGUGAAACCUUGCACGACCGUGUUAAUAUGCAACACGAUCGUGCACUGCUUAUUUUUUCAAAACAUUAUAUUAUAGGUUAAUGUCAAUUCGUUUUUGUGACGAAAAACUACUCAUUUACUAUUAGAAUAAAAGAAAGAAAAAAAAUAAAAUAAAAACGGCCUAAUAAGUUAUAUAUACAUGUGAACUUAAUUACUUAUUGAAUGCGCCCCAUGUGGCUUAUUGGUUAAGAAUGUGUGCUUGCAAGGUGGAGGGUUUGGGUUCGAUUCCUAGAUCCAACACUUUUAUUUUUUUAAAUAUCAUUCAAUAAUGACACGACCGUGUCAUUAAUGAACACGGUCGUGCUCGAUGUUACUUUAUCUAUUCCCAGCCAAACCGCUCUUCAUUCAAACAAACACUCUUUCAAAUUCUCUCAAAACCUAAACCUCCAUUAACCUAUCAAUCAACUUAUUUCUCAACCCAAUCUCAGUUUUUACUUCUCAAAACUUCAAUAAAUCUUAACAAAAACAACAUCAACCACCAAGUUUACCACAUUCAUUUCCAAACCUUCAUCAAAACUCAUCCAAUCAUCAUAUAAAUUCCCAAAUUCGUGUGGUCAAAAAACCUAACUCAAAACCAACGAAAUUGAAGAUUAAACAAGACUCAAACACAAAUCCUCAUCCCCAAACACUAAACCCAACAUAAAUUCAUCUUUCCACAACCAAAAUUUAAGGUCAAAACCCAACAAUCUUCAAAACCCAUAUUUUGUACCCUUUUGAGAAUUUAAAAAAUGGCAAGCAAGAGAAAAGAAGGUGUUGAUGACGCUUCAUCUGAUUCAAAGAGGAAAAAAGUUGUUGAUGAUGCUGGCUCUUCGGAUGGCAGGAAGAAAAAGGGUAAGGCUAAUGAGCUUGGGAUUAUCCUCAAGAAAUCGGAGGAAAGGGAGAGGUACAACAAACUCGCUGCAAGAGGAAUUGCAUUCAGCAGGUAUCCCGAUAAAACCACGUUAAAUACAUUAGGUAUGAUAGAAAAUGUUAGACUUCUGGUCAAUAACAUAGGAUUGGAGAGAUUUUUAGGGCAUAUGCACUCCACAUAUAUACACACUACCCUAGAAUUCCUUAGUACGCUGUGUUUUACCAAAGAUAAAUUGAAUAUCGAUGAACCACAGCGCACUGUGUCAUUUAGCUUGAAUAACAGAGAGUUUAGCAUGUCCCUACCUGAGUUUAACGAACGGAUGGGUUUCCCUGCCACGGGAUUCAUCCAAGAUUCUCGUAAGCCUGAUAAUUAUGACUCUGAUGAAUUUUGGCAUCAAAUAUCCGGGAGGACAAAAUUUGUGGCUAGAUCUGCUAAAGCUAGUUCAAUCCACAACCCUGUUUUCCGCUACAUUCACAGGGUUAUGGCUUGCAGCUUAUUUGGUCGGAAGGAAACGGGUACGGUUAGGACCGAUGAACUUUUCAUGUUAUGGGCUAUGGUUAACAAGUGUCAGGUAGACACGGGAUACUAUCUUUUAAGCCAUAUGGCAUAUGUUGCAACACAGGAGGCUGGUAUUAUUGUGGUCGGGGGGCCAAUCGAUUACAUUGUAAGGAAGUUAGGAAUAAAAUAUUAUUCUGACCAACCUCCAAUGAAGGAUUACAAGGGAAUUGAGAUUGAUACGAUAAUUCAGAUGAAAAUGAUUAAGGAUGUAAGUGGCGGGAGGAGAGAACAAUUUCAAUUGAGGGUUGAUAACCAAGAUGCGUUUGUAUUGCCAAAUCCAGAGAGGACUGACACAUCCAAUCCAGCAAAUUGGAUUUAUUCAGAUUUAGAUCCAGAAGUUGCAGAAGCGCAGCAUCUUGAAGACGACGCACCGGCUGCUGACCAAGUGGAACAUCAACCACACCCGGUGGUUCAAGAUGACCAGGAAUGGCGUACAAGGAUAGAGGCUGAGGUUCAAGCGACAAGGUCCGAUUUUCAAGAGAUGAGACUAUGGCAACAAAGGCAGGUUCAAGAUGACCAAGAGUGGCGUGCAAGGAUGAUGACUGAGGUUGAAGGUACAAGGUCUGAUGUUCAACAGAUCAGGCAGGAGCAGCAAAGGCAAGGACGUAUUCUUGACCUAAUGGUGCAGCGCCUUAACAUUGAUUAACCAACCUCCCGGUGGAUUGUAAUGAUGGGAGAUAUAGGCUAAUGCUUCUUGGAUCUGUUUGCUUUGGCAACAAUCGUGUCUUUCUUUUAUUUAAUUUAACGUCUACUCUAAAACUGUUUUGUUGGUUUCAAUUUGAAAAUGCUCUUGCGAGAGUUGUAAUAGUAAUGCACUUUUAACAAAGUACUCUUUUAUUUCUGUAUAAGUUUGAUUCAAGUUUCACUGUGAACAAUGCUUUUGUAAUAUUAAUUACAAUGUUACCUAUCUAUCUAUGUGUGUAGGUUCGUAAUUUAAUUGGUAAUGUAUGAGAUUACAUAUAAAGGUUUGCCGUUGUCAUAAUCUCUGAUUGUGUUGGUUUAGUACUCUAAACAAUUCAUACUUGUUUGUGAUAUAUAAUGGAAGUAAAAAUGAAUCAUUUAAUUUUGUGUUACAACUAGAUCAUGUUGAAGCUUCAAAUGUGUGUAAUGCAGUGAGCACGACCGUGUCAAUGUUACACACGGUCGUGCAACAUCCACUUCAACUGAAAAUAUGUGUCAGUGCAUAGUGACACGACCGUGUUAAAAAAAGUAUGACCGUGCUUCCAUAUGAGCAACUAUUUUUUUUAAAUCAGUCUUAUGCGCACGACCGUGCUAAUAAGAGACACGAUCGUGCUAUGUAUGCAGUUCACAAUCUAUCUCAUAAAUACUACCCUAAACCAUCCAUAUUUACUUCCAUUAUGACAAGCACGACCGUUUCAAUAUUAAGAACGACCGUGUUCGUGACAAAAAAAUAAAAUCAACAAAUCGCCAGUGAGUUUAGGCACGGUCGUGCAAUAAAUAAACACGACCGUGCACGAUACCAGAAAACAAUAAAAUCAACAAAUCGCCAGUGAGUUUAGGCACGGUCGUGCAAUAAAUAAGCACGACCGUGCACGAUACCAAAAAACAAUAAAAUCAACAAAUCACCAUUGUUGGCUUCUUACUCACUUUCAUUUACCAAAAACUUACUCAGACAAUAAUAAUUUAUUCUUUCAGUUAUGGUAUCUAACACUCUUUUAUUAGUCAACAACAAUACUAAACAACGCCCAACCAUAUAGCAUAAUAAAACUUUUAAAAUGAUAAACUAAAUUUUAUUCAUACCUUUAAAACGUAAAUGAAUCAAGAUCUAUAAACUAAACUAAGCAGAAAACUCCAAAUCAAUAAACGAGACUGAAAUAAUGUUGAACAAUUUUGUUAAUGAAGAAGAACUUUAAGUUAAGCACAAAGGAGAAAGGAUGUCUGGAAAUGUCAAAAAUAUGGGUGGCUUUGGAGAUGAAGAAGAAUGUUAAGCAUGAAGGAGAAGGGAAACAAAGUUAAAAAUGAUAUAUUCUGAUGUGUCACUUGUGAAAAGAGUUGAAUUACUACUCUCCAUGUUUCAAUUUUAGUAAGGGGUGUACAAGUUAUUGCUGAUAACUGGUUGUUUUUUAGGGGGGUGUGAGCAGCAGAAACAAUAAAUGAAUAUUUUACAAUAUAAUAUGUUUCAUUAAAAUAUUCCAGUAGGUAAAUUACCGCCAGCUGUCCUUCCAUACAAAAAUUGUGCAUGGUGCACAAAUCUAUCAUUUGUGCAUGCUAAAUGCCACCUGGAAUCAUGUGUAUAAUUAAAUUGUAUUUUUUUUGGAACAUCAAUUAUAAUGUUUUAUUAUCAUAUAUUUUAUAGUUGAUAUUAAAGAAUGAAAUUUCAACGAGACUGUUUUAUAUAAUAUAAUAUUUCAAUUAUAACAUAUUUAAAUAUGCAAAAUAAAUUGCAUAUUUUUUUAUUUUUUUUUAAGAAGAAGAAGAAAGUAAAUAACAAUAAAAUAAAGGUGAAAUUUUAUUCCAAGAAGAAAAGAUCAGAUUUAUAAAAUAAAAUAAAUUGCAUAUAUUUUUAACCUAUUACAAAAUUAUCAGAUUUAUAAUUUAUCACAAAGUAUAAAAUGAAAAUCACAUUUUUAUUUCAUUAAAUUGAUUUUUUUUUUGAAUAAAUUCCGUUGAAUUUUUCAAUCUUUAUUUUAGGAAAGAAAAAAAAUAUCGGAAUUGGUGUAUGUGUGAUCGUAGCAUACUUUAUUUUAGAACAAUCGGAAUUGGAGCUAUUUAAUUGGAAUUAAAAACGUAUCAUUAGUUCAUUAGUCAAAGAAUAUCAUAAAUGGGUGAUUGGCAAAGAAUAUCAAAAAUAUGAUUUCAGUUGAUUGUAUUUAAGGACUUGCUAAAAUAAACGUUAAACCUUCCGUCAAAAAAUAACAUAAACCUUAAACCAUGGGCUGAUUUAAAAAGUUUAUUAUGCUCCUUAACAAAAAAAUAAAUAUUUUAAGGUAAUUUCUAUUGUACACUCGAAAAAUUUGAGUGUACCAAUACACCCAUAUUUAAAUUAAUAGUUUAAUGAGUUACUUUUUUUAGAAAAAAAAAUAUUUUCUAUCAUUUACAAUGAUAAUAACUAUAUUUUAUUUCUCAAAAGUGUCGGUGAAGCAAAAUUUAAAUUUUUGAAUCUUUUAUUACUCAUAAUAGUGAAUAUUUAUUAUUUUUUCUGAUAAAAUGUAAAAAAAUUAGUAUGAUUCUUAUAAACAAUGAAAUUAUGUUUUUUCUUAUGAAAUAAUAUUUUCUAAAAUAUAAAAGUCGAUAAAUAGCUCUUUGUUACAUAAAAAUGAUCUUUAACUUAUUGAUUUAUGAAAUAGAUGUACCGGUACACCUUAAUUUAAAGGUGUACAGUAGAAACUCCCAUAUUUUAAGACCUUUCUUAACAAAGAAAGUACGGAAAUGUUUUUCUAAAUUAACAUGUGGCGGCGUCAAACAAUACUAGCCUUCUCAUGUAAUUGACAAUUAAUGUGUUGAUGGAUUAGUGAAAUUAGUGAAUCAACUAAUUAAUGAAAUGGAUUUCUUCUAUGAUGGGGUGUUGGUCAAAUGAUAUGAUUUUAUUAAUAUUAGGAAAGAAAAUAAACCACACAUUUUUUUUAUGAAAAUAAAACAGAAGGAUGUCUUUGUUCAAAAAAAAAAAAACGUGAUGAUGCAUAAUUUUAGGGAAAUAAAAACCGUUUAAUGAAAGAAUCAUAUUUUUAGGAAACAAAAACGGAUGCCCAACAAAAAUGCAAAAAUGAAUAGCAACUGUAAAAAAAGAAUCGCAAAUCAGUGGACCGCGUGUAAUUAAUUUGAUACCAACUUUAAUUUGGUUAUUUUACCAAAUUAUCUUGUGAAAAAUACUAUAUGCUAUAUCUCUAACUUCACAAUUUUUUCACAUCACAAUCUCGAUUCUCUUUGAAUGAUUCGGAUGAACAUUGCAAAUCACGGUGCUUCAAACGUUAAUUUUAAUUUAUUUUUGUUAUUUGCUAUUGUUUAUGUUUAUUUAUUUGUUAUACCGCAAAACUUCUCUUUCUAAAGAAACAUGUAAUAAGAAAUGUCUAUCAAUCCUACUUUACAAAUCGGUUUUACCUUGCAAAUGAAAUAUUUACCAUCAUUAUCACAUGGUCUUCCUCAUAUUAUGAUUUUGUUUUUUAUAAUCAUAGUCUGGUUUUUCAUGACUAAAUUAAAUACUCAAGUAUUAUAGAAUAAUAAUACUUGAUUAUAAAAUAACUAUAUCUUAAUGCGUAAAAAAAUCCUGUAUAUUUAAAGAAUUUCUAUUUUUGUAAAUCUCUAAGAGCAUCUCCGAUGGGAAAAAUUUUGCCUAAUACUAGCAUGUAAAUGUCAUUAGCUAUUUUCAUUUGAGAAAAAAAUAAGAGGAAUUUUUAUUGAGAUGCAAAGCUUUUACAAACAUAAACAUCUCUCUCUCUCUCUCUCUCUCUCUCUCUCUCUCAUGUGUUCCAUUGGUUACUUUAUUCGUCAUUUUUCAUCAAUUCAAUGUUAUUAAGCGUUAAAAUUAAAAAUGGAAUGAAUAAGUGUUGUGUACGGGUGAUGCCCACUUAAGCUACCUCUUAAUAAGAGCGUCGUUGUAAAUGCUUUAAAAAAAUGCUAUAUAUUAAAAGAAGUAACAAACAUUGUUUAAAAAAAAAAAAACAACCAACACACGUACAAAUAAAUAUUAAUAAUUGUCAUUGUGUACUAAUAUUUAUUGUCAAAUAAAUAAUGACAAUGUAUUGAUUGAGUCCUUAAUAAGGAUUGGUUGUCAAAUAUUUACAAGUUAAUUUUUAAUAAAAAAAUAUUACAAUUCAUUCUUUUAUCAACUGACUCAAUACAUUAUGAUUAUGUAUUUAACAAAAGGUUUAUUUUAUCAACUGCCUCUAAAUAAAUUAUUCUAUCAAUUUUCGCCCUCAUUGAAGAAUAGGAGGACUUCUUUGUUAAAUUUUCAGAUAAAUAAACUUUUGAAAUUAUUCUAGCAAUGAGGAUCUCCAUUGAAUGUUAGUGGUUUCUUUCAAAAAAAAAAUUGAAUGUUAGUGUUGUUAAACCUCUUUUGCUUCAUAGCAAACCAAAUAGCAUUAAUUGAAUUAAUAACAGCAGAGAUGCUUACUACCUUGCACCAAAGACCUCUUUGAAUAUCUAAAAUUUGCCAAAGGUGUUAAUAUUAAUUUCGUGACUUCACAUUUAAUAUGCAGAUCUGCGUAUCAGUGACGAUGACUUGAAGAACAUGUGUUUGAUUGAAAUUGAAAUGUUGCUUCAGGAAAACGGACAGUCUCUUACUGAAUUCAAAUCUCUGCCCAGACCAAACGCAGCAGACGUGCCAACUUUCACAAACAAACUUAUCGUUUAUGAGCUAAAUUACAACAAAGAUGAACUGGAAAAGACAUACACUGAUAUGUUACAGAUGUUGACUGAUGAACAAAGAUGUGUGCACGACAAGAUCAUGGAGUCCGUUGGUUUUGACGACGGUGGUUUAUUUUUCUUAUAUGGUUACGGUGGUACUGGACAAACAUUUAUAUGGAAAACAUUGUCGGCUGCUGUUAGAUCGAAGGGGUUAAUUGUAUUGAAUGCUACAUCCAACGGUAUAACGUCUCUACUAUUACCAGGUUGAAGAACCGCGCACUCGACGCUGACAGUCCCUAUUAAGAUUAAUGAGGCAUCAUCGCUUACGAUGGAAAAAGAUAGUCCUAGGGGAGACCUGGUGCGUGCUGCAAAGUUGAUAAUUUGGAAUGAGGCUCCAAUGAUGCACCGAUAGUGUUUUGAGGUGUAACACCCUGUUUUCCCAACAUAAAAAUUUCAUAACAAAUAAUCAGAGUUUUCCACAUAAAAGGAAUGCUACACAUCUCAAAAAUCAUAAAUGGAAUAAUUAACUAAUUAUCCUUCCAAAAAUCAUCAACAUAAAUAUUCAAAACUUCGCAACGGAUUUAUUUCAACAAUAUAUAUAGUCUUGGCACGAAGGCCUCAUUAAAACAUCUCAUAAAAAUCCAAUUAACAACUUAAUCAUGUAUAUUCAUAAGCAACAACAUAUUCAUCAUCUUAUAAUAACAUAAGCAACAACAUAUUCAUCAUCUUAUAAUAAUAUAAACAACAACAUGAUCAUUAAUAUUCCAUGGUUUGUCAUCAAUCAACAACUUCAACGAUUCGACGACGACAACGUCAACCUGACAACACAGCUACGUGAGAGUACACCACUUCUUAUAAUACGACAACGUAAGAGUACACCACCUCUUAUAAUACGACAACGUAUCACCUCUUAUAGAACAACAACGUAAACAACAUUAACAACUUAAGACUCCAAUACUUUGGAAAGACAACUUACAACUUUACAACUUAGACCAACACCAUUUAGACAUAUGCAGCAAGUCACCAUCAAUAAUAAUCAUCAUAUAUAACAAUUACAAUUUCAUAUCAACGUCUUUCACAAUAUAUAAAUAUUUUCAUAUUUAAUCAUCAAAGUAAAUCAUCAAUAUUAAUCAUCUUAACAUCUUCUCUUGCUUCUCACUUCUCUUGGUUUUAUCCCUUUUUCUCCAAAAACAGGUUUCACGUAAUCCUUGUUUUUUUAAUUCUAACUCUCCCCUUUUAUAUAAAUCCUUAACCUACUUAUUUUCUCUUAUUUCCAAAUCUGCCCCCCCAGUCUCAAUAUUCUAUUCUAAUAUAUAUAUAUAUAUAUAUAUAAUAUAAAAUAUUUCUAUAACGAAUGACAAAUAUAUCUCUAUAACAAUUAUAUUUCUAUAACAUAUAUAUUUCUACACCAAAUAAGAAAUAUAUUUCCACAACAAAUAACAUAUGUUUCUACAACAAAUAACAUAAUAUUUUACUAAUAAAUAUCAACAUAUAACAUAACAAAAUAUCACUCAUCUAAUUUCCAAAACAGCCUCCACAACUUAAUCUUAUUUUAUUUUCAAAUCUUAUUCUAUUAAAUAAUAAAAUAAACCACUUAAUAAAUCAACAACAAAUCACAAUAAUCAUAUAAAUCACAUAAGUCAUAAAAAUAGACUCUAAACUCAAUAAAAUAUUCAAAUAAUAAAAUAGGGUGUUACAUGAGGCAGUUGACCGAUCAAAGCGUGAUAUCAUGUCCAAGAAUGACCCCCUAAACGAGUUUAGACCUUUUGGUGGAAUGACAGUAGUUUUAGGUGGUGACUUCAGGCAGAUAUUGCCCAUUGUCCGAAAAGGAUCGAGGCAGGAUAUUGUUGAUGCCUCGAUCAAUUCAUCAAAGAUAUAGGCAUAUUGUAAUGUGUCGAGGCUUACUGUUAAUAUGAGAUUGGGUGCAUCUUCGGUACUUGCAGAGCAUGAAGAAAUUGCUAAUUUUGGCAAGUGGAUACUCUCAAUUGGAGAAGGCAACGACGCUUCAAAUGAGAAUGGUGAAAUGAAUGUAGAAAUUCCCGAAGAUUUGCUCAUAUCGAACACAAUAAAUCCGUUGAUGUCACUUAUAGACUUUGUGUAUCCCGAUUUGAAUGAUAACCUUGGUGACCCGCUAUUUUUCCAAGAAAGGGGAAUACUCGCACCAACGCUUAAUUCAGUAGAACAUGUUAACGAAUAUAUGAUGUCACUGAUUCCAGGUGAAGAGAAAGAGUAUUUAAGCUCUGAUUCUAUUUGUCGAUCGGGUGAAAAUUCUGAUGUCCAAAGUGAGUGGUUCACAACUGAAUUCCUUAAUGGUAUUUAGAGCUCUGGAAUUCCAAAUCACUGGUUGAAACUAAGGGUGGGAUGUCCAGUUAUGCCGAUGAGAAACAUCGAUCAGGCAAAUGGACUGUGUAAUGGUACGAGGCUGACAGUUACACAUCUAAGGAAGAGCACGAUAGUUGCUACCGUAAUUACAGGAAAAAGGGCAGGUAUCAGGGUAUUCAUUCCCAAGAUGAAUCUUAUUCCGAGUGAUCCAGGACUACCCUUCAAAUUCAGGUGCAGACAGUUUCCAUUGACGCUUUGUUUUGCAAAUGACAAUAAAUAAAAGUCAGGGUCAAUCUUUAUCUCAAAUGGGAGUUUAUCUUUCUAAGCCCGUGUUCACGCAUGGAAAACUUUAUGUUGUUGUCUCUCGAGUUACUUCUAGAAAAGGUUUGAAGCUGCUCAUCUUGGAUGAAGAUAAUAAUGUUUGAAAGGAGACCACAAAUGUUGUGUAUCGUGAAAUUUUUCAAAAAGUAUGAUCAUUGGUUAUGUUUUAGAAUUGUUGUUGCUAUAAUUUAGAAAACUAAAGUUGCGUAUUGUUUAGAAGUCAUUUUUUUUUUAUUUCUUUGUAAGGCGUACUGGUCAUUAUAGGACAUGCAAUUUCUAUAUAAGCAGAUCCUCCUGCCAUUGAAUUUUAAUUGAUGCACGGGUCGCUAUCAGAUUUCAGAAGGAAAGUAAAAUUACUAAUAAGUCAAUGCUCAACGGCACCCCAAAAUGUCUAUUCUUUUUUAGGCUUAAUAGCAAUUUUAGCUCCCUAACUUUCCCAAAGUUGCGAUUUUGGCCUCCUAAAAAAAAUUCAAAAUCGCCUCGUAAGUUUUGCAUCUGUGCACUUUUGACUCGGUCUACGCUGACGUGGCACCCUAAGUCAGGUGCCACAUAUUAUUGUUUUAUUUUUUGGGGGCCAAAACUACUACAGUUGCAAAACUUAGGGGGCAGUUUUAUAGUUUUUUUUUAGGGCGUCAAAGUCGCAACUUUGAAAAAGUUAAGGAGUUAAAACUGCUAUUAAGCCUUUUUUAUUGGAGUCAUGUGUCUAUCGGAUGAUGAUUAAUGGUAGUCACAAAAAUCUUACAAUCACAUAGUCAAAAAUAUCCCAGCCAUCCGAUCUAUUCCACGGUCCAGAUCUAACUUUUCUUAUUUUCCUCUCCAAGGCGAAAACACUUGCGGUUCCAUCUUCUCUUAUGCCAUUCUUUUUUAUAUUUUUGGUCAAAUGGUUUAGUGGUUGAAAUCAUAUAUUUUAAAUGCGAAGAAGUGGGAUGUUUGGGGUUCGGACUUCGUCCUAUAUAUAUAUAUUAUACAUUGUCCUUGUCAAGUGAGCUACUGACAAGUUCUUAAGACUUUACAUCUUGAUGGUGUUGUAUCCUCGUUAGCAUUUGUUUUAUACAUCGCACAAGUUUUUAGUUAUGAUUGAUUAUAAUUCAUAUGGAUUUGAAAUUAAGUAACAUAUUUAACUAUGAGUUUUUUUGUUGUGAUUGACUGUAAUUCAUAUGCAAUCAAAAAAGGAAUUGUAAUGACAUUAGUGGCUUAAAAAAAUGACCUUUAGUACGAUAUAUUUAUUUGGAAGCAACAAUCUUUCAGUAAAAGCGAAAGUGGCCUAGUGGUAAAAGGUUUGAAGUGUUGUCAUGUGCUACCGGAUUCAAUCAUUGCAGACCUUUUUUUUAUAUAAAAAUUAAUUAGAUCCGCCAAAAAAGGAGGGAUUAGGGUUAUUCGGUUUGAUUGAAUUAUCGUGAGAGAGAUGAAAGUGAGUGAGAAAUGAUUUGGGAUUGUGAGAUUGAAAGAAUGAAAACCUGAUAUUUGUGUUGAAUAUUUAAAAUUAAAGCAACCACAUUUAAUCAAAAGAGGAGUGAUAUUUUAAUAAUCAAUUUCCAACAACUUUUAGUGACAACCUUUUUCCUCUCUUUUUAUUGGACAAUAAUAAUAGAGAGAGAGAAAGGAAGAGGGAGAAUAAAAGUACAAUGAAAUUAUGAGAGAGAGAGUUGUCACAAAAGUUGUUAAAAUAUAGAUAUCCAAAUAUCAUUUCUCCAAUCAAAAACAUCAGGGCCGCAGUGGUAAGAGUCGUAUGUAAAUGGGUAGCAUGUGGUAGCUAGGAGUUUCUUUUCAUAAAUUUUAUGAAGAACCAAAAAUUAGGGUUAAUCAUUGGUCUUAGGUUAAGACUACUUAAUAUUUAUUAUUAGUAAAAAUAAAAAUAAGGAUAAAGAUAAUGACAAUGGAAGAAAAAAUAAAAUACACACCCUUUGUUGACUUCACGAAAUAUAGUAGUACCCUUCUGGAAUAGCAAUAUAGUAGUACCCUUGUUUGCAAUUUCAGUGACAUACAAUUUUCCGAAGACUUCCAUUAACCUUAUAAUAACAACAUCAUCUCAAUUCACCAAUAACUCGCUUCAUCACAUAAUCUUCUAUACUUCAAAAUUUAUCUUUCAAUUCAAGCACCAUGUCACAACUUAAACUGUAAGUAAUAAUAAUAGAAUGUUAAAGCAUUAAUACUUAUUUAUGUUGCAUAACACUUUUAUUUUAUUCUAUUUACUUUGUUUUUGGAUUAUGGUUGCAGAUUUAGCGGUGGAGCUGAGCAUGCAUCAUUUGUGACAAGCUAUGAAAUCCUUAAAAAAACAUGGAAUGUUAUCUCAUCUAGUUAUCAAGACAUAGUUACAAAUGAUGAUGAUGAUGAUGGUGUUGGAUUGUGUUGGAAAGUUUACAAAGAACAAAGUUCUGAUUUGACUAUUAUAGCCUUUGAAGCUACCAAAGAUUAUUCUAAUCUUCAAAGUGAU
rnacentral:lncRNA from 1 species